rnacentral:lncRNA from 1 species
GAUGGAGCACUAGUCCAGAAACAUGCACCGAUUACCUUUUGGAUGUCAGCAUGUUCCCCUCAAGUUCUUGUAAUCAUCGUAGCUAAGAAAUUUAUCCUUGAUUUUUAGCCAGUCAGCUGGCUUUGGCAUAAAAAUUGCUAUAUAUCCUUCUCUGUCAGCCUAAUAAAGGUGGGAAAAGUAUAUGUGUUGGUCAGAGUAUGAAAAAAAAAUAAAAACUUGCGCAAGCAGAUACAGAAUGACAGGUCACGAGUAAAAGGUAAUGCAAUAUAUGACAAACACACAGUGAUCCACAGACUUCUAUCACAGGUACAGAGCUAAAUGAUAUCUAGUCAAUUCAUUUGUGAGAAGAGGGUCGACCUAAACCUCCCACUUCACCCACAAUCUACGUUCAUGAUAAAUGCAAUAGCUGUAUUCAUGAUAUAUCAGACAGAUGUGCAACUUUACCAGUGUUUAUCUGGAAUCCAACUAGUUUUUUUAUUCUAAUCUAGUCUGUGAUUUCCUAUGUAUGACUUCAUGUCACAAUUCUAUUCACUUGUGUAUGGCACCAACAUUGAAAUUUAUGAGUGAAAUAAUUCAAAAAUCUCCUUGCUGAGUAUGGGCCUUUUUUGCAACAAGAUGGCAGAAUAAUAAACACUAUCUCAUGUUUGAUAUUAGAAUGUUACUGAUACAGAAAACUAUAGACAAUAUGUCCAUACAUGUCUGACCACUGUUUCAAUGCAUCAGACAAGUGACAACAGUAAAAAAUAUAUAUUUAACCCAAACUAAAAAAAAAUAAAAAGAAAACAAGGAAAGAACUGAAACACAGGAGGAAAGAAAAUCAAGGCACUUGUUAGGUCAAAACAGGAUACUCACAGAGGUGUUAAGCAGGUCUGGUUGUUUGAUCAAUCUAUCAUUGAUCUCCAAAAGUGAUCCUUUCACACAACACCUACAUGAGUUUAGCAUAAACAACAACUCAGUGCAAAAAUAGAAUGGCAUUAUCAAUUAUUGAUUGGGAGAUCUAGUGGACCAACCUCACUACAAAAGAAUUACUACUUGUGCAGACUUUACACAGCGCUGAAUUUUCUUGCAAAUGUUGUGCAUUCUGUAAAGUAAAAUAAGAACCGAGUCAUGCUUCCAUAGUUCCAAUAAGUCAACCAAUGAUAAAAACAUGCUUCAAGAGUUCAAGUCAUCCAAUUACCCUUUUGCGUUUUCCUGUGACUUUCAUCUCACUGCGGUCUGACUUCCCAACAUUGAAAUCAACGGCAGUUAUCCCCCCUUCCUCUUUCAAUGCAAUAUGGGCUGAAGCUAAACCAACCACACACAAUCUGAUCUUUUGAGAAACAGAAGAAACCAGCGAGAAAAAAAAAGUUCAGCUUCAUCAUAGACGCGGUAAUUAAAACGAAGGAUGGAGUGGCACGUUUCAGCUCAAGCUACAUAUGAAAAUAAUUAACUACCACAAAAUUGAAGCAUGCCUCAAAAAGAUAAACCAAUGGUAUGAUGAUAUUCCUUAAGAAUGCACUAGACAUAGUUGCCUAUUGCCUACAUAUAAUCUCAUUGGGGAAAACACACCACAGUGAAUUAUGACCUGCUUUGGAUCCACCUUGUGAAUAUGAAAAGUUCAUCAACAAACCCAUUCUAACAUUUUUUUUUCUAAGGAAGACUAAUUUUGAUUUCUUGGGAGCUCACCCGUUUGGAUGGCGGUACACAUACUGAUCAUGUCCUGGAUUGAGAAAGUCUGCCCAAGAAAAUAACAAGAGUUGAAUUAGACGAUUUGAAGCAUAGAUGAACCUAUAUUUCAAUCACACUACCAAAUGCAGCAGAAUUGGAUUCAGUUCAACAUAAGGUUCUUUGAAGACUCGGAAAUGUUCACUGUGACCAGAAUAUGUAUGGGCAAUGUAAGAUGUGGCCUUUUGUUUUUAACUUGUAUUGGUCAAAGAAAAGUAAAUUCAUAGACAAAACGAUUCAGUAUCUGGUAUUUCAACAGCAAAUUGGGUAAAGUAAUCCAUGGUCCAUACUCGAUAAAGCAAUGCGUACUGAAAAGGCUAGAGCAUUCAGCCCAAGUGAAGAAAUUGGAGCUCUACCUACCUAACGACCUCAACAACUUCUCAACCUUCCCUAACCUUAAUAACGGAAUGCCAAGUUCCCCUAACAUCGAAGCUCUCUCUAUGCUACGUACAAACAUACCCAAAAACCCAAAAACCCAAAAACUUCCAAUAAAAACUUCCAAUCUUUUACAUCAGGUAGGGCUCUAGGAAGUAAAAAGUACCAGCGACGAAGUAGCGGGCGAAGUUGGCCUCCACGGCGGAGGGCGGGAACGGCGGAAGGUCGCCGGCAUCGGGGACGACGAGGGCCCGGGUCUCCUCGUCGACCGCAGACUCCCGUUGCGGGGACCGUUCAAGCGGCGGCGGCGCGUCUAGGGUUGCGGAUUCUUCCGCCAUUAGGGCGCGCGACGCGUGGAUCUCCUCCGCCGCCGGAGAGCUCGUGCCGCGCGUGGCCGGUGUGGGUUUUGCUUUGCGGCGGCGGCGGCGCGAGCAGAAGAGAGAUAUUCCCGUUUAGAUGUGGAAUUAACUUUUUGCCACUGGACCCACAUGUCAUAGACACAUGUGGAGCCACGUGUCAUUGAGAUAGAGGUGACAAAUAGUUAUUUGUCAAAUCUAAAAGUGGAAAUAGUUAAAAGCCCCGUGAAGAGAAGGGCAAAGUGCGUGGGAGUGUGUGAGCCGUUAGAUCAUUCGAUCCAACGGCCUACAGCGGUACAGCUCGGGCGUUUCGGAAUUUGCUCUUUUUUUUGCAAAUCCCCACCUCUUUUCCUGCUAUUCCAAUUUGAUCCUCGGCAAUAAGGGUACAGUUCAUUUUUAACCCUCGAACAUUGCUCAAAGUCUGUUUUCACCAUUAUUUUUAAGAAAAUGGGAUAAACUCUCUACGUCCAAUUGGAUGUACAUGUCCAUAAGAACCGAUUGUUUUUUGUCCUAAACUUUAAAAAACAAAAAUAGACACACUGAAACUUAUUUCAAGUUGGUUUUCAUCUGUAUUAGUUUCAUAUUUGUCAACCUACAUAUAAGUGACAGCUACACCAUUAAAAUAUGCGUAAUAAAAGGUUCAAGUCUUCAACUCAAUACAUAUACUCAUAUUUAUGCCUAUUUAUUUUUCUUUUUAGUGGUAGACGGUGUGUUCAUCAAUAGAGAGACAUCUACGACUAUAAUGACUUCGUCGAUUUCUAAAUAAGUUAGUCCAAUCUCUCAGAAAUGCUCAUUAGGGUGGGGAUGCAUGUGUACCUUCAUAUAGGCAAAUAUGCACACAUACAUAAGUAUAUAUGUUUCGAAAAAAAACAGAAAGAAAAAAUAUCCUCAUUUCAAAUAAUACCCUAAUUUGAGAGUUGCUUCAAUAAUCUUUGGGGCAGGGUUUAUAAAACCGCGCGGUUACCAUGCACGGUAACCUUUUCAGUUUUUGAAACCACGGUAUGUCUCGCGGUUACCAUGUGGUUUUCGCGGUAACCACGCGGUUACCGCGGGGGUGCGGUAACCACACCAAAAAUGGUAAGGGGAACCCUGUUUUGGGGAUGCCCAUAGUAAUAGGAGACAUGCGUGGUUUCAUAAGGGCAUGCUCAAUGGUAGAGACGAAAAUGGUCUCUUAAACAAUGCAAGAUUAUUAAGAGACCAUGUCUUUACAAUAGUUGAGACGACAAAGACUCUAAUCAUUAACUCAAAAAAUAUUCCUUUUGUCAAUAUUCAAUAUUCUUUCUACUUUUUUUACCCUCAUGCAACUUUAUUUCCAUAUUACAGUGAUUAAGAGUCAUUGUUAAGCCAUUGUCAUAAAUAACAGCGAUGUUUUGUCUCUUCUCUUUCUCUUUCUUCCAUGUCAAUAAAUAUUCCUAAUUAGCAACGCUGAGAGACCACUGUUGAUAACCAUUGUACAUGCCCUAAGAGCGAAUGUGUGCGUGUUAUAUAAGCAUUUUCGUCUGUACUAUAUUUCGAACAAAAAAAAUUGGCAAGCAAAAGUUUUUCCAACAAAAGUGGAAAAACACUCGAUAGAAGUAUCCACAAUUCUAGCUAGCCACAUUUCAGUCAUCAAGUCAUUAUGCAUAUAUGCCAUUAAUCACAAAUACUAGACAACUACUUAUCAAAUCCAUUAUUACUAGUACGUAGCAUUAUGUUUCUUUCUCGAAUAAUUCGAGUGUGUAUACACUAGUAGUGAGACGUAGAUGGUAAAAUCAAUCAUCAUCAUCAAUCAAACGCGAGGUAAUGCAGGUGCUGAUGGUAUCCGCCGCCGACUUCGUCGUGGUAGUGCUCUCCACCGGCCGCCGCCGCCGCCGCCGCAGCCUGCCCGCCGUCGCCGCCGUCGAACUUGGCGUCGUCCUCCUCCUGCGGCGACGGCCACACGCCGGGGUACGUCUCCCGCGUCACCUCCAGCAGCGAGUCCCUCACCCUGUCCGCCUGCACCGCCACCUCGCUGUCCCUCACCUGCAAUGCAGAAACCAACCAGCUCGGAGUAGUCAGCUCGCGAGCUCGCGUUCAUGGCCAUGGCGGCGGCGAGCGGGGCGUACUACCAUGACGCGGAAGACGUUGAGGACGAGGGUCUUGUAGGUGGUGACGUUGACGUUGAUGACCUCGAGGCCGAGCGCGUUCAUGGCGUCCAUGAGGCGGACGAACCCGCCGGGCUUGUGCUCCCAGAGCACCUGGACGAACAGCUCGUUCCCCUGCACCUGACGCACCUCCAGCUGCGGCUCCAUCCGGUGCCCACCGCCGCCGCCGCCGCCGACCUUGUCGUCGGUCAUUGCUGGGUCCUUGUUACUCCUCCUGCUGCUGCUGCCGGAAACGGCGAGCGGCGGCUGCUGUUGGUGGCUGUUGGGCGGCGAGGCGUCGUCGUUGUCGAGCCCGACGAGGCUCGCCGGCGGCGGGUGGUCGAUGAGCACGUCGGGCGGCUUAUGGUGGACAUGGUUGUCUUCCAGCUCGUCCUGCAGCUCCUUCACCUGCUUCUGCAACCCCACGAUGUAGUCGAUCGCGUCUCCAAGAAUCGACGCGCGAUCCAUCUACGAUUCGUUGCAAAAUCAAACGGAAAUCGAUUUGAAGAAGCUUUUGAUCCGUUCAUGGCCAUGGCGAUCGACGAGGAGGUAAGAUACCUUGGUGAUGUUUGGGACGAGCGAGCGGAGCUUGUAGAGGUGGCCAUUGAGCUUCUUCCUCCGCUUCCUCUCCGCCUCGAGGUUCUUGCACUGCUGCCUCUUGGCGCCGCCGGAGCGCCCCUCGCCGUCGCCGUCGUCCUCCGGGUCACCGCCAUGCAGCUUCCUCCCCUCCGACCCGGACUCCGCCACGCCGCCGCCCGCCGCGUGCUGCAUCUGCUCCUGCGCCACCGCCACCGACGGCUCGCUCACCGCCAUCCCCGCGUACGGCCACGCGCCCGCCGCCGCCGCCUCGUCGCCCACGGCGUCACCACCACCACCACCCAAGAACGGGUCGUCGUCGGCGGCGGCGGCGUCGAACAGGUUCAGCGACGAGCCGCCGUACAUCAGCCUCUGCGCGUCGGCGCCUCCGUCCCACUGGAAGCUGGGCGUCUCCGGCGGCGGCCACGCCUGCCCCCCACCGUCGUCCCCGGCGCCGCCGCCGCCGCACUGCGCCAUGACAAGCUCCGCCAUCUGCUGCUCCUCCGCCAUCUGCACCAACACCGAUCAACCCACAAAUCUAUAUAACCCAUCCAUGCAAAACGCAAAGGCCGUUGCGUGCAGCUAACCGCAAGCUCUCCGGCGUUCGUUGGCUCACGCGGAUGGCGUGAGCCGCCGCCACCACCGCCGCCGCCGCAGCCGCAGCCGCAUCCUCUCUAACUACUACUCCUCUAACCAAUCGAACGACCGACCACUCACAUAUCUCGACGCGAAGAGCUCGACGAGGCCGCCGGCGACGGGGACCAGCAGCCGCGUCUUGGCGCCACCGCCGCCAUCAGCCUCCUCCUCCUCCUGCCACGCAUCCAAGCAACACACCUCAUCAGUGACAGAGAUUCAUAUUCAGAUUCAGAUUCAGAUUCAGAUUCAGCUACUGGGUUCAGUGAUGAAUCUUGCUUACACUGCUGCUCUGCCAGAUCGGCUGGUUCGACAGCAAUGCCUGCGCAUGCAUCCUUGAUGGAUAGUGACAGAGAUUCAGAUUCACCAAGCAUACAAAUGUUCAGAGUUACUAGACAAGAAACCAUCAAUUUUGCAGGUAAUCAGAACACGUAUCGAUUGAUUGAUUAAUCAUUCAAUUUACCCUAUGGAGGAGGAGUCCAGUGGGAUUGAAGAAGGCAGGUCCAGCAGUGCUGAGACCUGUGCUUCAAGCUCACUGCUGCAGCAGAAUCCUGUCAUCUCCAAGAACCUGCCAUUAAUUUUGUGUUAAUGGUUGUAUAUCACUACAGAGAUAAUAAAUCACACCGUAAUUGCUACUUUGCAUGCAUGAUAUGAUAUGAUAUGCCAAGUAAUCAAUCACAUACCUCUGAUCAGGAGAGAGCCUCCAGUAGAUGCAGUAAUCCCAGCCAUCUGAACCAACUAGAGGCCUCAAUGCAGCAUCCAAACUGGUGCCACCUCCAUUGACAGCAGCUGCAGCUGCAGCAGCAUUGCUGUUCUUCAUCAGCAGGUGGUCUCCUCUUCCCAUGUGGUGAUCACCCUUGCCCUAGCAGUGACACAUGAAAGCAAGAAGAAUGGAUGCAAGUGUCAGUUGCAGCAUUCACAAGGCCUGCUUUUUCUUGCUGUCAGGACAGGAUAAGUUGAUGUCACCAAGGAUACAGCGAAAAUUCAGGGUAUGAUCACAGCAAGGGAACAAUCAGAUUCAGUCUGAAUAUUCAUCAGACUAAAGAGACAGAUUUAGUCUGAAAAUUCAGUCUAUGUUGAAUCAAAUUUUCAGUAACUUAAAGAGACAGAGAUCAAAGCUGCAUUCUUCUGGCUCAUCAGGAUUGUAUGUGAAAUCUUUUCUAGUGAAUUUUUGGAAUUAAGCAGAGAAAGAAAGAUACCUUCUGUCUUCCUGAGAUCGCUUCAAACUAACUGACGAACUGUGGCAGUGAUCAACAGAUGGAAGAGAGAGGCAUCAGCUGAUAGCUAUUGGUAACUGAAGAAUCAUUUUGUACAGAAGGACUAUUGCAUCAUGCAUAUAUAUAGUUCACAUGUGUGUGUUCCUCUGAAUUUAGCCAUGGCUAUCUGAUGAUGUAUUGAUACCAAGUCUUCGGAAAUGGCUGUCAAAUUAUGUAUGAUACUAGUUGAAUUUUGAAUUCUUUACUUAAUCACUCCACCUAUAUUGCUCUGAAGGUUUGUUGUGGGUAGGUGAGUUGCAAGAAAGGUGUGAGAGUUUUCUAACUCCAAUACAAAUGUUGUUGUCUAAUACGCAAGUAAUCGCAAUUGCGAUGAGUCCUCUCAAACUACGCAAUGACAGUUUUGGUUAUACUACCUAUAAUCAUGGAGAUAAAAUGUUCACAAGAACCUCUUUUACAUGAGUUCUGAGUGAAAUUCAGAACUUGUCUGUUAAUUCAGUAAAAAAAAAAAAAGUUCAAAUGAACAGGGUGAGACAGAGCCUUGAGCUGAUCUGGUCCCUCUCCAUUGACAGCAGACAGCAAACGUAAGAGGUUGUUGAAUCGAAAAAAGCUUAGCUGUGUGAGAUAUUUGCUGAUGCAAUGUUACUCUGUCGUCCACGCUUCAGAGUUCUGAGUUCAACAAGUCACAUGAUAAAAAGGACAGGCACAACAGAAAGGAAAAGGGAUAGCUACAAAACCCAUAUGCUGAAUUUGAACUGCAGAUUUAAACAUGGAAUAUACAAACAAUUCGAUUAUCACCAUUAAAUGUUCUUAUUACGAUUCUUUGGUUGGGUGAUAGCUAAAAUACAUCAUGGCAGCUUGUGGAAUGCUUUCCACUUGCCAGGAUCAGGACAUAUGGAUAAUUGGAUAAGUUUGAGAAGUCUCAUCUCUUCAGAAACUGCAUCCCAAUAUAGUUAUGUUUGAUGUUCAGAAAUCAGAAUGCUACUCUUUAAUUAAAUUCGACAAGAAACUCAUUAUGUUCAGAACUAGUCGGCAAGAGAACACCUGCAGCAAUCACUGUCAAUUAGACUUUCAGAAGACGAGUAACGGUCAAGUAUUUUGUUCUUUCUGCAAUCUGAACAUCUUUGGCUGCAAUAAAUCAUUGCAGCAUGUAGUAAAUUAACUGAUGGUAGUACAAACAACACAAAUCUGAAAUCACUGGUGACAAACGAACUGUAGGUGCCAUUGAUUUCAUUUUGCAUCAGCAAGAGCAUGAGAGUUUAUGCCCGGUCCUUCGAGAACAUACACAGCAACCAACAAGUACUACUGUACUAGCAAUAUAUAAUUUGGUCUUGAAUGGCACAUGAUUCUUCUAGUGAUAAGCUCGAAUAUAGUUUUUAUUGACAGCAAUGUGGAAACACUGUCGAAAAAGUUGGCCGGUGUUGGAUGCAAAGAUGGAUUCUUGUAAAUGCAAAAUCUGACCUCUUUUUUCUUGCCAUUGAAAUGUACAUGGAGGGAUCAAGUUCCAUGAACUAGAGCCAUCAGAAAAUAAAGUUUGGCACUACUUCUCCCACUUGGACUUUGCCCUUUUGGUCAGAAUCCCUACUCUCUUUUAGCUUCAUGAGGAAUUCUCUUGGGAGUCCUAACUUUCAAUUUAGGCACAAUAAACACAGAUAUGCAUUGCAAGUUUGCAAUCACUUGUUUAAGCUUUAAGGAGAAUAUUUGGCAAUGAUAAGAUAUUUAUUGUUAUUUUAUUGUAUUAUUAUUAUUAUUAUUAUUAUUAUUAUUAUUAUUAUUAUUAUUAUUAUUAUUAUUAUUAUUAUUAUUAUUAUUAUCAUGCCCUGUUCCUUUUUUCUUUUCAAUGUCUCAUUCAAGAAUCAUAUACCAUUUGGACCAUGCUAAUGAUGUCGGUAUAUAUAGCCCAGUGAUCAUCGGUACCCAGACCAUCGAAACAAAACAUUCUUCAGUUGAUCUUGAGAUUAAGUCACUCCUCCAUCCCAUCUCAAGAACUGAUCAAGGAAAGGAAAAAAAAUGGCACUGAGGAGAAUAAUCAAGGAGCUCAAGGACCUUCAGAGGGAUCCGCCGACUUCCUGCAGCGCCGGUGAUACGCAAAUCUUUGCAUUACAUCCUGAAAAUCUUCAGAUAGAAAUGUUCAGAAACAAAAUCAAGAAGAUCUAUUGCAUUAAAUUUUCUCAUUGUUGUUGAUGAAUUGGUGAAAAUUCAAUCAGGGCCUGUGUCUGAUGACAUGUUCCACUGGCAAGCAACAAUCAUGGGGCCCAAUGACAGCCCCUACUCUGGAGGAGUGUUCCUGGUGACCAUCCACUUCCCUCCUGACUACCCUUUCAAGCCUCCAAAGGUAUGUGCUAACUAAGCAAACAUCACUUGUCUAUCAUAAUUCAAUCAAGAUUCAAGAAGUUGAUGAAACCCAAUCAUGAAAUGAAAAAUGAAGCGUCUGAUUGACUCAUUGAUUGGGAUCUUGGGAGCAGGUGGCAUUCAAGACCAAGGUGUUCCAUCCAAACAUAAACAGCAAUGGCAACAUCUGCCUUGACAUCCUCAAGGACCAGUGGAGCCCAGCUCUCACCAUCUCCAAGGUAAUUAACAACACAAGAACAACAUCAUCAUCAGCAGCAGCAUUGUGAAUUGGUAAUGAACUGAUGAUGAUUAAUAGUGGAUGGUAACUCACUCAUAAUUGGUGCAGGUUCUUCUGUCGAUCUGCUCGCUGCUGACGGACCCGAACCCGGACGAUCCGCUGGUGCCGGAGAUCGCUCAUAUGUGCAAGACUGAUCGCCUCAGAUACGAAUCCACCGCAAGAGGCUGGACGCAGAAGUACGCCAUGGGCUAAGCUUAGCUGCAAGCUAGCUAAUUGCAGCUGAAAUGGCAAUUGGAUUUGGAUUUGGAUGCAGGGGACAAUCAGUCAAUCACCAGCAUGUCGAUUAGAAUUCAGAAAUAUAGAUCGUGCCAUAAAAAAAGAUAGUAAUAAUUCUUGCUUGCAAUUAUUAGGAUUGUUGUUGCAAAUCUGAAUCAUCGUUAUCAUCUAACCUAUAAUCAAAAACCAUCGUCUUCUUGGUGAGGAGGAAUAAUAAAAGUCUGCGAUUUUGACGGAAUUAUUGUUCGUCAGAAGUGAAAUUGGAAUUAUUGUUCUUUAAAAGUGAAAAUUUUUCACUGACACAACCGACGCUUUGGCCGAGUGGUUAAGGCGUGUGCCUGCUAAGUACAUGGGGUUUCCCCGCGAGAGUUCGAAUCUCUCAGGCGUCGAUUAACUUUUUUAUUUUUUUUCCAACCAACUCGUAAUAUUUUUUUAUAUAUAUUUUCACUUUCUUUCAGAAUCCCUACGGUUACUUCGAGACGAUUUUUUUGGGGGGGGAUUUUGCGUUACCCUUGUGUGAAUCGAACGCUACCACAGCCCAAUUGCGAACAGUCCAGCUGCUGGAUUGAAAAAUAAAUAAAUAUAAUACAACAGCUCUCGAUAUUAUAAUCCAUGUGUUUGUAACUUUGUGCUUAAAUUUUGCAGCGACAUCGAGAGCUAAAUUUAAUCUUAGAAAAACAAAAGGAAGGCCUCAAUCGGGUCUUUUGAAAUCAGGGGACAAUUGCCAAUUAACCAGUUGAGAUAUAUAUAUCUUGGUUCCAGGCACUUCCAGCUGAGUUUUAUUUAACCUGGUGAUCUUCUGAGAUGAUAGGUUUUGACUGAUUGUUGGUGACAACCACCCACCAAAUUGCAUCCAGUUUAACAAUUUUCAAACAUGUACGCAUGUAUGAUAUUGAUUCUGCUAGGCUGUUGCAUAGAUGGCCUUUAAAAAUGUAACUGGCAAAGAUACAGAAUUCCAGCAGAUUCCACAUAUUAUAAUUUACAAACAGGCCUCUACUUCAAAGUUCAAACAUGCUCUCCACAAUCUCCAGAAAAAUCAUUAUGUUACUAGAGCUAGAUGUUGACUCCAGGUAACCAUUGGAAGUUGAGUAGGCCACUUGUAUGCAACAAUUGGACAAGUCAGAAGAACAUCACAGAUCUUGCUCCAUUUGCAGAACAGAAUAUGAAGGGGAAACAUAAUUUUCCAUUGAAGUGAAAUAAGAAGGAAAAGAAUAAACUGAGUGCGAUUACAUCAUGUCUACUUAUGAAACAGGGAUAACAAGAAUUUUUUUUCUCAAACACAGGAAAUACCAUCUAGGAAAGUUACCUAAUUGCCACGACUUGUCAGUCACACGAGAUAAUCACAAGGCAGAAAGGAGAAAAUGAAACAAACGGAUCGCUCAUUGCCUCGACAAAGAGGCCUUGCUGCAGCUGCCAGUAAACUAGGAUCCCCGGACCAUGAAUGCUGUUUCGCUGAAGCAAGACGCAACAAUAAUAAAGCCUGGCAACUUCAUCGUUCUUCUUCUUCGUCGUCUACUGAUGAUUAGAUCACAAAAUGGAGCACGCCCCCCUUUGCGCCUUUUUCUUCUUCUUCGCCUUGGGUGGCUGCAGCACCACCUUUAUUGCCGCAUCGAAAACGCCCUUGACGUUCUGCAGAUCAGGGGGGGGCAGGAUAUCUCUGUUAGUAUCUUAUAUGUUAUUGCACAUUUAGCAAAGAAAUGGGAAGAAAGCAGUACUAGUUGGGUCUUUGAGCUGCAUUCGAUGUAGUAUGGGGCGCCUAUUUGCUUUCUUAGUUCCUCUCCCUACAAAAGUGGCAAUUAAGGAACAAAAAAAUGAUCAAGAUAUGGCAAUGUAGUCCACAGGAGUUGCAAGUACAUCUCUGAUGCUACAGUAAAUAAGGAAUUAAACAACCCACAAUGCCACAACUGUACCUGAGCAGUGGUGAUAGGAACAGCACCAGGAUGGUCCACAAAAAACUGCUUGUCAUCUCGAAGAUCUGCCAGUGCAAUAAACAAUGUGAAAAAUGUAAGUGGGCUACAGUUGGAUCUUUACAGGUCGAAGGGGAUAUUAUCUGUAGAAUGAUUGGAAUUUAAUUUCAUAAGACAGGUAGAAACACCAGCCAAAAAAAAAAAGACAACAAAACUGAAUCCAUCAUGACAAUAGCAAACUGAGGGACAACGUGCAAUGCCACAAAUCUGUGAGACAGAGUAUAACUGUUGCAUGUUGUUGAACCAAAGUUGAAUAGUACAAAAGUAGAACCAAAAGAGCAAACAGUUCAAAUAGGUUUAUCACAAGAAUUUCUUGCAAGUACUAAAAACUAUGGCUGAUUGAUAUACUGGUACUAUAUAUCCAUAUUUUUCCUCUUUUAUAGAGCACCCUGCUUCAUGUAUUAUCACUAAAUGACGUCACCAGUACCAAGCAUUGACAUCAAAAGAACACACACCAAAUAAAAUCGUAUCAACCUAAAAAUCCCAUGCCACUACUUCCAUCCAAAAUCAAAACCGAACUUGUGACAGGUACAAAAGAUUAGAUUUCUCAAAAUAGAGCCUUGCACGGUUCUUACCAAGCUUUGUUCCCACAAGGAUGAUAGGCACACCAGGUGCAUAAUGCUUCAGCUCAGGUAUCCACUGAAAUAUAACAAAGUUUAGAAUCAACAAGAAGUACCAUAAGUGGAGACUAAAAAAGUGAAUCGAGCCACAAAAAUGAUCAAAUCAAGUAUCAACAUAAGACAAUGACCUAUGAACAUAAAUUUAUGAGAUUAUUAUCAUCAUCUAUCAUCUCUAAUGGGUGGAAUAAUCCAUUGAAGGAUGCAUCUAGGCCUGCUCUAAAUUUUGUGGAGCCUAAUUCCCAGCAUGGUAAUAGUUUUAUCAUCGAAGAAGGCAAAAACACAAGAAAAAUGCCAGAAGCAACAUAUCAUUGCACAGACGAUCUCAAAUUAAACAUGACCAACAAACUUCUUUAGCGAAAGAAGAAAAAAAGAGCACAUCAAUAUUAUUAACAGAAAAUGAAAGUGAGUCCCUUGCCUUCUUUGAAACAUUCUCAUAGCUGGCCUUGCUGAUUAGCGAGAAGGCCAGAAGGAAAACAUCAGCUCCACGAUAACUCAGUGGUCUCAGUCUGUUGUAAUCCUCCUGACCUGUGGUAUUCCGAAGGAAAAACUUAAUAACUUGGUAGAAGAAAACAAGCAUGCAGAAUUAGAUAGCAGCGCAACCAGAUUACCUGCAGUGUCCCAUAGCCCGAGGUUGACGGUGUUACCAUCAACCACGACGUUGGCACUGAAGUUGUCAAACACCGUCGGAACAUAAUCCUGUCAAAAGCAAUGACGCGAACAAUGAGUGCACAUAUCGUCUCAAGGCACAACCGAUUCAUAAGAUACAAAAUGAGGUGAAUCCUACUGUUACAGAACUGAUAAGAUAUCUAUGGUAAAUGUGCAGUCCAUUCUCAAACUCUUGCCUAAAGAUAAGAUUACAAAACUGAUAUAUACUCCACUAGAUUACUAUUUUACCAGGCCUAUUAUACAUGGCAAGAAGUCCACAGGUGGUCCAAUGGAUACACUACCCCCACUACAUGGUCACCAUGUCUCAGGGCUCUAAUAAGCUAAUCUACCCCCCAAAGCAGCUGAAAUGUUCUCUUCUUUUGAAGAUCUCUCCUCAAAAGAGGGAAAUUAAUGUGCAAUUGGGAAAUUAACCAUGCGCGAAAAGCAAGGGUGGUGGUGUGUAAUUGAUUGGGUGUGGAUUUGCGUGAAAGGAACAAAGAAUGCGCUUACCAACCAUGGGGAAGGUGUGAGAUGUGAGUGGAGGAGGGUACAGGACAACUAGAAAGUCGGGAAAGCGAUAUCGAGCUCUCGACCUGGCGGAUCCGCGGUUUCCCACCUUUGAUAGAGAAACGCCAGCCAAACUGAUUCGACGUUAUAUGAAUCGUGGGGGGAAAAAACCUGCAUUUUUUUCCGCCGCUAAUGCUGCUACAAUCCAUAAAUGCUGCAAGCAAUCAAGGACGAAUUUUUUGUUUUUCUACUGCAUUUUUUUUGUUUGAGCGUUCACGAGGAACGAAUGAGGCAGCAUUUGGCUUCGAUUUGAGCCACGGUUUUUGAUUUGGUACGGGGUGCCGUGCAAAAGAUCCCCUUUUUACUCAAACUCGAAUGGCAACCCUAGGCAGGAAUUCGAAGCCGCAUUGUCCCAAAUUCACGAGCGGCGGACGAAUCAGAAAAGCCCCACAAUUUGGGCCCAAAUCCAGAUCAAGAACCAUAAUCCUAGCUCCAAGCCUCCGAGCACACAAGUAUUUUUUUUCAAAAAUAAUUAAAAAAAGAAGAAGCAAAAGAAAGAAGAAGAAGAAGAAAAGGAAAUGUUUGGAGGAAGAAGAAGAAGAAGAAGAAGAAGAAUACGCACAGUGGGGAAGGUGUUGGAGGUGUAGGAGAUGAGCAUGCAGGUCUUGCCGACGGCGCCGUCCCCGACGGUGACGCACUUUAUGAACCUGGACGCGCUCAUCCUCGCCGCUCCCCGUCGGUCGCAGCAGACGCCGCCGUCCUCCUCCUCCUGCGACCGCUCCCCCCUCUCUCUCUCUCUCUCUCUCUCUCUCUCUCUCUCUCUCUCUCAAGAAACUCCAAGAAAGAAGAAGGUUGAAGGAGGAGCAAAGCAAGGGGUCGACGCGAGAGGAAGGGGGGAGGUUGGGUUAAGAUUGGGAGGUGGAGGAGGCGAGGCGGAGAGGGUUUCUCGCAGAUCGGCGGGUGAAGCGGUCUCCUCUCCGCGCCGAAAUGGUGGGUGGCCAAGCGCAAGCGAAGCAAUAGCAAUGCCCCCCAAUGCAAAUGCAAUGCCGAGACCCGAGACAAGGAAGGAGAGAGCUCGCUCGAGACGGAGGAGGAGAAGAGGAGGAGUAGAGAGAGAGGUGGUGGGUGAGGUGGGUGGAGGAGGUGGCCACGUUGUGCGCGCGCAUCAUUUCCUUCUUUAUUACCGCUCCUCCCCGAUUAUCACGCACGCAUAUGCCCAUUAAUUAUUUCUCUUUCUCGCCCCCCCCCCCCCCCUAUCAUUUUGUAGUAUAUUAGUUGUUCUAUAGUUAGGGCGAAAAUUCAAUCUUCUUUAGUAGUAAUUCUAAACUCAUGUAAUAUGAUAAUGAAUAAAUUAUUUGGGUUCAAAAUAUCGAUCAAUUGUUGUUUACAUUGUAGCAACCAACCAACGCCGAUCAAAUGUUAGCGCGGCUGACUGGGUGGCUACUAUAACACGGUAAGCCAUACCGAUCAGGGUCAUCAUUAAUUCGAGAAAGAAAUUAUAUCCUUUCAAUUAAUUAAAAAGUCAUGCACGAUAAUAUAAGUAUCUUGAAAUAAAUGAUUUUGGUUCAAAAUAUCAACCAUUAUGGAUGUAAAUUGUUGCCACUACAGCUACAAACCAAUAUAGAUUAAUACUGCACCAGUGGCUACCGAGCACAUAUGUAGCCAACAAUAUUCAUUAGGACUGAAUAUAGCUUUUAUAUUUUUCUCGUUUAUUCAAAGCUUUGUUUGGGACAUUGUAAAAUUUUACAGGAUUUUCAUAUGAGUCAAUUUUUUUCAUUAAUAUCCUUUGUUUCAGUUUCCCAUGGAGACCAUAUUACUUGCUAAUGUGACAGUACUACUACGGAGUAUAUACCAAUUGCAAUUGGUAGUUGUGUAGUUAAUUCCAGCUCACCUGUGUACAAACUGUCAAAUGGUACCAGUGUACUGUAGCUUUUACAGAUGUUAUAUACCGGUGGUUGAUGACUUGAUGCCAUUGUCCUAACCUGGUGUACUCGUUACAUUGUCCUAACCCUGUCUGUCAGGCCGAGAAACAUAUAUAUGUGCACAUAUAUGUAGUACUAUCAUACUCCCUCCGUAAAAAAAAAAAAAAAAAAAAAGACCAAACCCUGGAUUUCUGUAUCCAAUGUUUGACCGUCCGUUUUAUUUGUUUCAAAUAUAAAAAAUAUUAAAAAGAAAAGUCACGCAUAAAGUAUUAAUUAUGUUUCAUCGUCUAACAACAAUGAAAAUACUAAUUAUAAAAAAAUUUCAUAUAAAACAGACAGUCACACAUUAGACAUGAAAACCUAGGGUUUGUCUUUUUUUUUUUUGGACGAAGGGAGUAUGUCAAACUCAAGCUUCCAAAACCAUGGGAAUGGGUGAUCAUAAAUAAAUAAAUGUCAAUUUCAUACUAUUGUAAUUUUUAUCAUGUGUUACAAUCAUCAUAUUAUAAUAAAAAUAGUUGUAUUAUAAAAGGACGAUUUGUUAUCCCUAUCGGGUUGCUAUUUGGAUUUUAAAACUGGUCCAUACACCGACCUUUUACGUCAAGAAAAGUUUUUAAGAAGGCAUUCACAACCGCCCUGACCUUAUUUAUGUCAUUUCUUUCUUCUUUUUGAUGAUUGGAUUUAUUAUUUUUAUCAUUUUACGCUUUACCUACUUUGUUCUUUUAUAUUUUGUGCCUACCAUCUGCCCAAACUGCACCAUCCAUUAUUGCCUUAUUUGUGUCUUUUUCUUCUCGGCGUUUUUGCCAACUCAGUAAUCAACUGCUCAGCAGUCAUUCAUUGUUUUUUUGGCACAAAUUUAUUCAGUAUAUAUACAGAAGAAGAUGCUGUAAGUUCAACUAACAAAAGUUGCUGAAAAACCUUUAGAGGAAAAGUGAAAUUGUUAGUUGGAAGAUAAUACUUCUACAUCAAGUGAAGUGAAGUUGAUGCAUCUCAUAUGUUGGGCAAGAAAUAUGAUUUCUAUUUCAGCUCUCUUUGGUCAUAUUAUAAGUUCUAAGAUUGAUACAUCGAAGAAAAAUAUCAAACUGUCCUGCAUUGAAAUGCAAGUAUUAUAUGAUUUGUGAUAGAAUUGGACAAAUUGACAUGACAAACUUUUCUUAUAAAAGAAAUGUUACACGACCAAAUUCCAUCCAGCUAUGAGUAGUCACCAGUUGGCAAGAACCAAAACAAAACCAUGAGUGCAGUGUACCAUACAUAAAAUAGUAUUGACAGCUAAUAAAAUCCAGGAUCCAACUGGCUGGAUUAGAUUGGGGCAGUUGUUUGUUUCUUUCCCUCUACUGUGCAGUCACAAUGACCAGAAGGCAGAAGCAUCCACCACUCAUUGUACCCAAUCAAAUUAUGGAAACAAAUAUACUGCUAACUGAUCAGAUGGAUGGAUGGUUCAUCCAAGCUUACUGGCAUCCCAAUUUUGCCUCAUUACCAAAUACAACGAAAAGGUUAUUGUUGCUGGUAUCAAGCCAGGAAAAACAUACCAUGGUCAAAAUUUAUUUUUAUGACUAUUGUUGUGGUUACCUGGUCCAGCAAAAGGCACACGAAAAGGUUGAGCAAAACCCUUAUCUGGUAGGCUACAGCAAAGGUUAAGUACACAUCCAUUUUUUUUAAUGGAUAUUCAUCCGUUUUUUACCAUAGGGUUGCACAGUUAUUUGAAUUUGUGUAUCCUUUUAGCUGACUCAAGUGUGUUCGACAAAAGCAUCGCAAUUGUCAUUGGCCCGACACCACCAGGAACUGGCGUGAUUAGUCCUGCAAUCUUGGAGGCCUCCUCGUAGCACACAUCUCCAACCAGCCGAUAACCUCGAGGGCUUUCUGGAUCCUGAGACAUUUCAAAUCACUAGUAAGCAUAGCAUGCAAGGAAAUCAGGAAGGGGGUGUAGGGAAAGAAGCAGCCAAGUCACCAAUUUCUUUGGAACCUUCUGAGGUAUUAACUGAGUUAGGAUACAAAAACAUACAACAAAACUUAAAGAUAUGCACAAGCCAACAUUUAAGUGAAGGCUUGUACUAAAUUGAUUAAUCAUCACAUAUUGCCCAAACACAUAUACAAUGUGAAGAAAUUUACCAGCAAAGAUAUGGGAUCAUCAAAAUUUAAUAAGGCAAUUUAAGUUUUUAUAAAUGGGUGUCCAACAGUGGGAUCACAGGAGGGUCUACUGGUGUAGUUCCUUACCUGCCUUCGAUCCCAGCUGCGAGGAUCUAGACAAUAAUGUUCCCUUUGUUCUUGAAAAAAAAAACUAUAUUCCUUCUAAGAAUGUGACAUUUUGCAUAUAUGAACCAAACAUGAUUAGAAACAUGAAGUGCAAAAGCAUUAUAUAUUAUUUUAUUAACAACACAAAUACACCAUUAGCCAUCUGGAUCCCACCAAUGUGGUGAUAUUCCAGGGAACCAGUAACAUUGGAAAUCUUAUUAGCAGGUUCAAACUACCUCCGUCCCAAAAUAUAAGGGACUUUGGCUAUGACAUGCCCAGUUUUCAUGCAUAAAACUUAUCCAUCUAGAAAUGGGUUGGCAUUAAAAGCAAACAGAUCUGUUGAAUGUUAGGGAGGAAGAAUUAAGGAAGCCAAUCAGAAAAGUAGGUGUCUUACAUCAACUGGAUUGAUGCCAACAUCAAUAAUAGCAGCACCAGGCUUUAUCCAACUCCCUCUGACCAGAUUAGCAACUCCAACAGCUGCGAUAACAAUAUCUGCUUGUCUUGUUAUUUCCUCAGGCUUCUUGGUAUUUGAAUGUACAAUGCUAACAGUUGCGUUGGCUUUCUAGUAAUCACAUAUGGCAUAAAAACAUGUUAAUUAAACACUCCAAUAAAAUUUCUCCAACUAAUUGAAGUGAGAAUUAAUUCAUACUUGCAGUAAUAAUGCAGCAGGCAUCCCCACAAUAUUGCUCCGCCCAAUUACAACAGCUCUCUUCCCUUUGAUUUCAACUCCAUAUCUGUGUAGUAAUUCCAUGCAUCCUUUAGGGGUGCAUGGAACAAAGAACGGAUCCCGACCUUGCAUUGCAAGUCGUCCAAUGUUCAGUGGAUGAAAUCCAUCAACAUCCUUCUCAAUACUAACAGCAUUCAAAAUGUUCUCAUCAUUCAUAUGCUGCAAACCAUCAGAGAGCAGAAAUACAGAUGCUCAGUGGAUGGAAGACAUGGAAAACUUGUGUGAUGCUAGCAGGCAAAUACCUCUUUUAAUGCUAACAGGUAAAAUCAUUCAAAGUAUCUUGAUCAAAAAAUUAUUCAAAAAUAUCCCCAUCAUUAAUAUGCUACAAACAAUGCAACAAGAUUAACAGAGAACUGCAAGCACCAGUAUAGACCAUCUAAUUAAAAACAAAUGCUGACAACAAACUCGAAAGACCACAAAGGGAAUGCGACGGACUACCUAAAACAAAGGAUCUGUUUGCACACAUUUUUCUAAGACCAGAUAUCUUUCACAAGAGCAGCAUCAAACCAGUUAACAUAAAUAGAAACAUUUAGUGUACAAAUUGGAGAUGGCACCAAUAUCACAAUAUUUCCAGAAAAUAUUGUGCAUAAAGUAAUGUUUCCAUGGUGUGCCAUACUGCCAUACAUAUCUAGGAAUGUACCUCACUAAAAAUACAUUUAACUACCAGUUCAGUUGGUAAGGGCCAAAAUUCAAUAUCAGUGGAUAGGUUAUACAGAGACAUUGGCCCAAAGAAAAUUGUUGAAAACUUACAUGAGGUAGGGGCAACUGAACCAAGAUGCCAUGCACCGACGGAUCACUGUUAAAUGUUGCGAUGUGCUUGAGAACCUCAUCCUCAGAGCUGUCUUCCGGCAAAUUAACCUCAUAUGACUUGAUACCAACCGCUUCGCAUGCCUUCUUCUUGUUGCGCACAUACGUUUGAGAAUCCUUCCUUGACCCAACUAGGAUGACUGCCAGCCCAGGCACAACCCCAAUUGCAUCCUUCAUCUUGGCGAUCUCAACAGCGAUUUCCUCUCUUAUCUGCUUUGCCACCAACUUCCCAUCAAUGAUCUUGGCACAAGCAUCUGAUGAACACAGUUGUAACACAUGCAAAACGAUUAAAAAAAAGAAUUGUCAUAUCAGUGCAUCAGAAAAUACAAGGAUCUCUUCAUAUACUCCAUUUGCAACUACACUUGCUCAACAACGAAAUCAAAAACAUAGUACUAUCUAAUAAUACAGGUGCAACUAAUAGCAAAUGGGUUUCACCUGAAGAGCUCUUCCAGCCACACACAACUCGACACGGAUGAAUAGAACAUUCACAGUCAGGCAAGCGAGGAGAAGUGGGCGCGCGCACCUGAGUCGGUAGAGGAGGCGGCGGCGGCGGCGGCGGCUGAGGCCGAAGCCGUGCCGCGCGCGCGGGGGAGAAGCGGGAGCUGGGGGGCGGCGAUGGCGAGGGGCCUCCGCGGCGGCGCGGCGACGGUGGCCGGGCGGAAGCGGCACGGCGGCGCGAGGAGGGCGCGGCGGAGGGGGAGGAGGCGGGAGGUGGCGGAGGAGGAGCAGUCGGAGAGUAUGGAGGACGCCAUGGCUAGGGUUUAGUGCCCUGGAGCGGCGGCGGCGGGAGGUUUUUCGCGGGCGCACGGGAAGGGAAAAGAAGGGGGGAAAAAGAAGAGCGGAAAAAAAAUGGCGUGUAAAUGCAGCAGCCGCUAAACCCCACGUAACAACAAGGGUUUAGGGCUAAUCCAUUAAUAAUAAAAGAUUUUUUAGGGUCUAAUCAAUAAUUAAAAAGGGAUUAUUUAUUGAUUUACUACUCCCUCAAAAUAAGUGCAACUUUUGGGGUAAUAUUUAUUGUAACUACUAUGUAACUGCACUGUAACUACAUUAUCAUCUCCGUAUAAUUUAGAUAUAAUGUUACAUAUAUUAUUUUAUUACUUAUAUAGGAGUUACAUUAUAGUUAUAGUAAAAUUAUAUUGCAAUUAUACUAUAAGUUAGAUUUGAAAGUUUUCUUUUUAAAAAACUUUCGACAAUUCUCUAGAUAGUCCCUUUAGCUAAAUUUUAGGCCCAUUUGGAAUAGUGGAAGGCUGGAAGAUAUGUGCAACUUUUAGGCUGUGUUCGCUUCCCUCGUUUUCUGCGCGCAUGCUUUUCAAACUGCUUCUCUAGUUUUCUAGCUAAAACUUAAUUAAUCAUGCGCUAAACGCUGCUUCGUUUUGUGUACCAGAGAGUGACUCCCGAGCACAGCCAAAGAGGGUGCGUGCUCCAGUUGUUUCCUCGGUUUCAAAAUCAAAAUGUUGUUUUGAACAAAUUUUGGAGGACAAGUGGAUAUCUAACACUCCUUGUAACGAUGCCAUUAAACGAGUACAUGAUCUUGCAAAGAUAGUCACAAAGAUGUAGAGAAUUCAGGCUAUGUUCUACUGUUCUCAGAAAUAUUUGGAUUCAGCAACUGAAAAAGACAAGCAGCAUCACCUCGUAACCUUUGCCAUCCAAUCCAAUUCAAAUCGACAAUUACAGAACAGCUAAGCAAAAUUCCGCUUUAUUAACUACAGAAAACCGAAACUAUAGUUUCCUCACAACUGUAGAAAUGGGUAGUAAAAUGGAACAUAUCCUAUGCUUUAUAGUGGAGUAUUACAGAAAACAAAAACUCUCCCUGAUUGAUCUGAAUCUUGCAGCCUAUCGAGAAGCAGGAACGGCAGUUUCAGCUGGGGACUCUUGCUCCUGUACCAGUGACUCCCACUCCACCUCCUUCAGGAUUCUGAACCUCUCGUCGAGAUUUACGAAACCGGAUUGCUGAGUGACCGCUCCACAGGUGCCGGCUUUGUGUAUGAGGACUACGGUGCCGCCCAUGUCAGGCCCAUGAAGCUUGCCAGUCAGCAGUACACGGAGCGGCAUAAAGAGUGACUUUCCCUGGUCACAAAUGGAUACAGCCAGAAGAGGUAAGUUAUAAUUGUUCCAUUCAGGAUAUAUGGCACAAAAGGCAUUUGCAACAAUGGGCUUGAAUGUGAUUUUAAGGUGAAUAUGAUGGUUAGUAUAUACAAGUCAAAACAAAGGAAGCUUACUAGGGUUGGGUUGUCAAAGUCUAGAUCAAAUGAUUCGGUUGUAUUUUCAUCAUUUCUAGAUAUCAAGGUUUAGGUGAGACAGAUUGCUUCCAUAAAAAGUUGUGUUUGAGCGGCACCUAAGAACAAAAGAACAAAAUGAUUGCUGUCAUUACUCAUUAGCACUGACCUUUCUUUUAAGUGAUUUGCCAAAAAUUUUCACCCACUUCUGCCAACCAUCACGGCCCUCAGCUAGUGCUUGACAAAGUUCACCGCUAUCAUAAGCAGAAAUGAGUCCUGAUGCAACCUCAGAAAGCUUGUCUUGCACCACAGAUUUAGCUUCAUCACUGGUAAUUUACAUGUGAACAGAAAAACGAACUGUUUACUCCAACAGUACUACCACAACAACCAAUUCACUGAAGAAACUUUCCUUUUUUGGCGACAAUUUAUGAAGGGACUUUCAGUGAAAGAUUAAUGAAGGGUUCCCGAGGGAUUAAAUUUAAAACAUCACAUUUCUGCAGACCUGCUUAAUGUAGCAUGGAGGGGAUACGACAACAGGUUUGAAAGGGCUGCGUCAGCAUCAGUGAUCAAAUCGAUGCCAUCCUUCAAAAGCUCAGCCGCUUCCUGUGCAAAAAAUAAAGUAAUUAUGUUAUUAGUGCUCCCCAAUCAGUUACCGUCCAUUUAGCAUAUAUACCUAAUUCUUUUUAGUGUGUAGUUCCAAAGUACAAACACCCAUGGUGUGUAGAAAUAACAAAAGGCCUCCAAUCUUACUUUAGCAAAACCACUUUCAGACUCCUGGAGAAUGCCUGUGUCCUUCCAUCUAUCCUCAAAACUCUUGAUGAGUACAUCAGGGGGAAAUGAUCUUAGAUGUUGUCCAUUCAUCCAUCUACAAAUAUAAAAAGUAAUGCAUUAUGUAAAUAGGAUUGUUUGUUUAUUUUCCAUGAUCACCAGUUCAAGUGAGUAGUUGUGUGCACAUGCACUUCUUAAAGGCAACGGUGGAUUAGAUAGGCCAACAAAAUAUCAGUAGGUUUGAGCUUGAUGGUGGUUUCUGAGGGUAGGUCCCAGUAAACAAGCUUUAUCAUGAUGGAAUGCGCCUUUCAAACACUACUGACCAGCAGGCAGCAAAGUACAUAAAUACGUAUUUAUUACUGAUUAGACACACUGCAUUUAUUGCUUAUCAGACUUAUGUUUCUCUUUGAUCCAUAAUGUGGAGUGAUUUUGCGAACUCCAUACAGUAUAUCAAAUCCAUUGAUACACUGUACAUUUAACUUUGUUGGUCAUAUGGAGUUAUGGACUGGACAUGCUUCCCAGCUUGUGUCUGAGUUCAUAAAUAAAAGAACCUAUGAAUUACUAGCUACUUCCUCCAUCCCAAAAAAAACAAAUCCAUUGAUACACUGUACAUUUAACUUUGUUGGUCAUAUAGAGUUAUGGACACAUUCUAGUACAACGAAUCUGGACAGAUAUAUGUCCGGAUUUGUAGUACUAGCAUGUGUCAUAUCCAGUACUAGAUUGGUUUUUAAGAUUCACCUUCUAAAAUAUACCAACAAUUAGUAUAAUAUGAAUUAAAAUUUUAUUAGUGAAUAUUAUCAUUGGAUUGACAUUUGAAUUUAAUUUCAUAUGGUUAUAAUUUUGUUGCUACAAACCUUAUAGUAUAUCAGAAAUUAUAAGCAAAAGAUUAUUUUUGGAGAUCGUGACGUGUUUGACGUGCGAUAGAGGGAGUAGUGACAAUGACUUUUCACUGGUUCCCUUAUAAUUGAAAUAAUGCCUGAUAUCAGACUAAAGAAACAUAACAAUAAGUGGAAGCAAGCUCCAGUUCAACUAAUUAUAGUACUGCAACUGAGAUAUCACGAGUAAUUAGAGAAUACUGACAAAUUCUAUGAAGAUAACUCAACCAGAAGGAGAUUGGCAAAAAAAAAUGAUCUUACUUUAAUUUUACAGCAUCAAAGACUGCUCCACUUUUGUUGACACGAUUUAUAGUGAAUUUUUCCACUGGAAAUGAGAUAUAACAGCAAAGAAUGGGUAAAUGGAUGGUGACUGUAAUUUUCAAAAACUGUGCAGGGAAAGUAACUGAACGAAUUAUUCAUAAACUAACCUAGGUCAUCAAUGGUGAAGAACUCAUUUUCAGUACCAUCACCCCAACCAAGAAGUGCCAAAUAAUUUACCAUUGCCUGAGGCAAAUAGCCCAUCUCUUUGUACUGGCCAAAGAAAAGAGGACACAUUGUUACAUUUUUCUAACAUUGAAAGUGUUUCAGAAAAGAUGUGAAAUGGCGAGUAAUUAGCUGCAAUACUAUAUUUUGCCAAAAUCUAGUUGGUUACCUGUCCCACAGAAGUAGCCCCAUGACGUUUAGACAGUUUACUUCUAUCAGGAGCUAGAAUAAGUGAUACAUGAGCAAACGAAGGCAUUGGAAAUCCAAGUGCCUGCAGAAGACAGUCAUAGGACAGUAGGCAUAUUAUGUUGAGACAUACAGUUCGAAGGGUCAAGGUUGUAAACAAUGAUACACAAGAUAAGAAUGGCAUAGAAAAUUACUUUAUAAAUAAGAGCCUGCCGUAAUGUGUUUGGCAGAUGUUCUUCAGCUCUGGGGGAGAAACAAGAGGAUUGCAAACUUCAGGAAGAAAUCAUCAAAAGGAAAGAUAACAAAAUAAUUAGUUUACAUUACCUGAUAACAUGAGAGAUGCGCAUGGUAGCAUCAUCAACUGUGACACAGAAGUUAUACACUGGCUGGCCAUUGCUUCUCAUAAUCACGAAAUCACCAAGCGUGUCUAAGUUCCAACUGACCUUUAUAAAACUAUCCGAUGCUUAGUGUGUGUGUAUCACUUCUCAUAAUUUGCAAGCAUGAAUUAUUGACAGUGGAAGGCUAAAAAAAAUGCAACGAUGUGGCAGUGCUAGAGUUUCUAGUUAUUACCUCACCACGAAUAAGGUCAUUAAUUUUCAACGACCCUUCCUUCGGUACACGGAAACGGUAAGUGUAAGGUGUCCCCUUCUCUAACUCCUGUUGUAUUUCUGCAUCUGAAGCAGUCCCCCACUUGCCCAUGUAUACAGGUGGAAGUUGCAUCUGCUUUGCAGUUUCUUUCAUCUGUUCAAGUUCCUGAAGUAACAGAAACAGCUAUCAAAUGGGCAAAUAGUUGAUCCAGUAGAAUUCCAGAAGUAACCUAGACAAAUUGCUGACGGGGUUUAAACUAACUCAUCCCUUAGUAUUCAUAGUUGAAUAAAUCACUACGAGUGUUUCAUAUGAACACACAGAAAGAUCAAGCUUUUUUUUUUGAAAAGCACCAAAAUAAUACUCCAACAUUACAACAACCUGUGUAUAAGCGCAACACAAUGCAUCACACAUACAUGCAGAUCAUGCAAGGGGAGAAAUAUACCUCACUGGAGCAAAAGCACUGAUAGACUGCACCAGACUCCAUCAGCUUCUCGGCAUACUGUUUGUACAUCGAAUUGCGCUCGGACUGGCGAUACGGCCCAAAUUCCCCACCAACAUCGGGACCUAAGCAAGUACAAAUAUGAGCAUUCAUAUCAUCUACCAUCAUAGAGGAAAAAGAAUAACUAUUUCACUGGUUUAUCCAUGCUUAAUAAAACCAAAUACACAUCUCCACAGUUGCACAAUAUCAAUAAAGAUAAGCAAUCAGAUUGUAUCAAUCAGAUAAUCAUAAGAAUUGAGCUUGCCAGAACUCUCGAGUAGAGUAGAAUUCAGCAUCCAAGGCCUAACUACGGUGGACAGCAAUAGAGCACUACAUCAAAAUGAUACUCCCUCCGUUUCAAAAUGUUUGACACCGUUGACUUUUUAGCACAUGUUUGACCGUUCGUCUUAUUAAAAAAAUUAUGAAAUAUGUAAAACUAUAUGUGUACAUGAAAGUAUAUUUAAGAGAAAAGUGCAUAGGCGGUCCUUAAACUUAUAAGGUUGUGUCAUCUAGGUCCCCAAACUCUCAAAAUGCACAUCUAGGUUCCAGAACUUGUCAAAGUGUAUCAUUUAGGUCCCAAAUCGACAUAGCCCCUAUAGAAUCCUAUGUGGCGCUGAUAUGGCAUGCCAUAUGGACGUGAUAUGUCCUUUUCUUCCUUUUUCCCUUCUUUUUUCUUCGUUUUCUUCUCAUUCUUCUUUUUUUUUCCUUUCUUCUACUCGGGAAAAGAAAAAAAAGGAGAAGAAAGAAAAAAAAGAGGAGGAGGAAAAGAUAAGAAAAGAAGAAAAAGAUAAAUGGGUUUCAUUUGUUAGUCAAAAUGAUGCCACGUCUUGUCCGUGUGGCAUGCCACAUCAGUGCCACGUAGGAUCCUAUAGGGGCUGGGGCGAUUUGGGACCUAAAUAACACACUAUGACAAGUUCUCGGACUUGGAUAUGUAUUUUGAGAGUUUAGAGACCUAGAUGACAUACCCCUGCAAGUUUAAGGACCGCCCGUGCACUUUACUCUAUAUUUAACAAUGAAUCAAAUGAUAUGAAAAGAAUAAAUAAUUACUUAAAUUUUUUGAAUAAGACGAAUGAUGAAACACGUAAAAAAAAGUCAACGGUGUCAAACAUUUUGAAACGGAGGGAGUACAACUUAACUUCCUAGGCAGUAAAACAUUAGAGCGAUAUAGAGAAAUCAGGUGGGUCAACUCACCUUCGUCCCAGUCAAGGCCGAGCCAGGCGAGGUCACUGAGCACGGCCUCCUCGGACUUCUUGGUGGACCUCUCGAGGUCGGUGUCCUCGAUGCGGAGCACGAACUUGCCCCCCUUGGACCGCGCGAAGAGGUAGUUGAAGAGCGCGGUGCGGGCGCCGCCGACGUGGAGGUUGCCCGUCGGCGACGGCGCGAAGCGGACCCGCACCGGGCCGCCGGCGCCGUCCGGUGACGCCGAGGCGGAGGCGGAGGCGCGGACGGAGAGGGUCCGGCGGAGGUGGGGCCGCAGGAGGCGCGGCGGCACCUCCGGGAGCAGCCUGAUGCGCAGCCAUGGCGACCCCAUUGCCGCCGCCAUCAUCUCCGGAGAUUGGGAGUUUGUUGCGAGAAGAAAAGGAAGAAGAAGAAGAAGAAGAUGACGAUGCGGAUAGAGUUUGGGGAUAUUUGGGGGCCCAACAAAGCCCACGCGCUUACAAACUGCAGUAGCCCAACAACCACGAAGGAAGAGAGACUGACAGGUGGGACCCACAAAGCAGUGUCUUGUGAGGCAUUUUAUCCCUCAGAGCGUUUUAAUCCAGCAAAAUGCGGAGUUGGAAAGUUGCUUGCAAAGUAGAGAUAAGAGAAAUUAAUCUCUUUGAUCUUGUGAAAAGAAAAGAAAAGAAUAUACUCAGGUGGCGUUUGGAUACAUCGGAUGUUUGGAUAUUAAUUUAAAGUAUUAAACAUAAACUACUUAUAACACUAAUUAUAUAAAUGGUGCUAAUUCGCAGGACAAAUUUUUUAAUUCUAAUAAUCCAUAAUUAGCACAUGUUUAUUAUAGCAUCACAUAGACUAAUCAUAGAUUAAUUAGGCUCAAUAGAUUCGUCUCGCGGAUUAGUUCAGGGUUAUGGAAUAGGUUUUGUCAAUAGUCUACAUUUAAUACUUCUAAUUAGUGUCUAAAUAUUUUAGUCCCAUCUAAACAGCCCCCCAAUCCAUUAAAAAAAGAAUAAACCUUUUAUCGUUCGUCUUAUUAAAAAAUAUUUUAUGAUUAGCAGGUUUGUUGUUAUUAGAUGAUAAAACAUGAAUACUAUUUUAUAUAUGACUGUUUAAAAAAUCAUAAACAUAUGUCAAACGUUAAACAUAGAAACUGACGUAUGCACUUUCUUUAAAUAGGACGGAGGUAGAAGGAAAAAAUAGGUUAAGAGCAUCACCAACAGUCUACCUAUAUGAUUUCCAAAACUAAUUUUAAGAGAUUUUAGUCCAAAAAUCAGCUUCAACAGAUCCCCUACUCUCCUACCAAGUUUUGGAGUUUCCUUCUCCCGGUUCCUCGCUCCGUUUAUAUGCGGGUGCGAAAGUCGCUCCCAAUCACACAAUCCUGCCUCUCUCCUUCGUUCCCGUAAAAAAACAGAAUUUUCUCUUGGUAGUUUAACAGAAGGGUCCACUUUUAAGUUUUGGGGAUUAAAUUUAGGCUAUCCAUUGGAGGGAGGAGUUUUUUCACUUUCUAUUUUUAAUUUAGAAAAAAAAUAAAUUUUUAGAAGAAAAUUAUAGAUAAUCUGUUGGUGAUGCUAUAAGAGGAUGAAAUGGUGAGGACAUGGCUCCACCAGCCCACCGGCCAAAACAACGAGGGCAAGGAAAUGCAUAAUUGCACAUGAUGGAUGGAUGGAUGGAUGGAUGAGACGAUGCAUGGGCGGCCGACGACGACCCUGCCCAGUCUUUUGUUGUGUUGUGUGCGUUGUUUGAUCCUUCGUCUGCACCCUGCCCUGCCCUUGCUCUGCUCCGUCUCGUCUCGUCUCGUCUUUGGUAUUGGCCUUUGUAGCAUCACUGUAGUAAAUUAUGGAUUAAUAUAUCUCGUUAGAUUAAUCUCGCAAAAUAGACUAAAAGUUAUAAAAUAAGUUUUGUCAGUAAUCUAUGUUUAAUACUCUUGAAUAAUAAAAUUUUGGAGCACUUUAAUCCUAGCGUGAAGCAUCCAAACAGGGCCAUUGUUGCUGCUGCCUUUUCUUCCCCCAGCCAGGUCAGGCCUGCACCCCCCCCCCCCCCCCUCUUUCGUACCUAACGACAAACAACUCCUCUAUGCUCCUCCCGCCUCCACGUGUAAAACCCGCUCAAUCUACACUAGUAUAUUCAUAAUACUAUCACAUUCGUUAAAAUCUUUUAUAUCAUGGGGAAGAUGAAGCACUGAAGUGAGUAGAUUUUGACAAAAGAUAGAUAAAGAUGAAGAUGAAAUCAGAACACGCAAGGUAGAUGAAAAAGUCAUCGGUAUAUUUUUUUAAAGGAAAAGUCAUCGGUAUAUGAUUAAUUAAGUUUAAUUAUUAUACAAACUUUAUAUAUAUAUAUAAUAGACACAUCGUUUAACAGAUUAAAAAACACGUGCUAACAGAAAUUGAGAUAAAAUUUGAAUCUUAACCAGAAGAGAAUGAAGAACGGACCACAGGCACAAUAGUAUUUAGAUUCUAAGUUAUCUAAUUUUGAGUCGAUGAUACGUGAAUCAUUUUUUUUUGAGAACCUUAUUGAUUCUAAAAUCCACAUUGAAAACAAGUCAAGUCUAUAGCUAGUGGGUUUAAUUUCUACAUAGAUGCUACAACUAUGACAAAGUUUAGCUUAAUUAGCACUCAACUAGCACAGGAAUACAUAUACAUAUAUAGGAGUAUCCACGGUCGUACUAGCCCACAGCAAAUAGUAAAUUCUCCCCACAGCAAUAGGCAGGGGAAUCAUACAUAGGAGUAUAAAGGUAAACCACCAGUUGAGCUGCGAUCAGGAUUACAGUAUAUGAGCGAGAAUAUAAUCUGUUGGCUCCUUCGGCGAGAAUCAUUCAAUUCACAAGGAUAAUGAUGAUGACAUUCAGCAUCCAUAUCGAUCUCGCUGUUCAAAAAAAGCUCCACAACGAUACGAUUCGCCACAAAAAUUAUGCUUACGCGCAACACAAAAAGACAAGCUACCCCCUCUAUAGGUGCGCCAUCCCUCCAUCCCGAAUCAUUGCCUUCUUUCGUCCACAACGCGGAAAAUAUUACAGAAUUUACAACGCGGAGAAUUUAAUCUUGCCGAAUCUAAUCUAACUGUAAAAUUACUAACAGCUCUAUUUUUUCGCUUAUACUUAUCAGCUAAAAUUUAAUUUUCGAACCUUAAAUUUGGAGUUGAUUUUAUGGUUUUUUCAUCGAAGUUUAUUUUUCAGCCUUUUCUUUUAGAUCGUUAAGAACACGUAUAUAAAAGUUUUAUUUGUAAAUUAUUUUUCGUUUGCAAAUUUGUUCAGCCUAAGUUUUAGAGCUCAUUUGGGGCGUAGGAUUCUUUUACGACGCGGAGAAUUUUCUACAUCCUCCGGAAUCUGAAACUAGUCCCUGUAAAGUUUCUGUGUUUUAUGACUUGUUUGACAUACAGUACUCUCAAAAUGAAGCAAAAAAGGGAUAAGAAUAUAUCAUCAGAGUAUGCAAUAAUAUAGGAUUUAAAAACAAAUGAAUGCUGAGGUAAAUAUGUUUGGAUGGUUACGCAAAAUAGUACUCCCUCCGUCCCAUUAUAAGUGCAGUGAUAAGUUUCUGUGUCCAACGUUUGACCGUCCGUUUUAUUUGAAAAAUUUAUGAAAGAUUUUUAAAGUUAAGUCGCGCAUAAAAUACUAUUCAUAUUUUAUCAUCUAAAAAUAAUAAAAAUACUAAUCAUAAAAAUAUUUCAAAUAAUACGGAUGGUCAAUGUUGGACACUGAAACUCACAACUACGCUUAUUAUGGUACGGAGGGAGUACAUAUGAUUCUUGUAGGAAAAUAUUUGCAACUUUCUAGUAACAUAUAUGCAGAAGACAAUAGAGACGGAAAGGUAGGCCACAUUUUAUCUGUUUUCCUUUUUAUUUUCCAGAUUUUUGUCCUAGGUUAUUUGGUAAACGCUUCUAGAAAAACUUAUCAAAAAUAAUUUCUCAUAUUGCAUUGUUAAUUUCUCCUAGGACAAAGUUUCUUUCAUAAAAACAUUGAUUUAACACGCUAAUCAAGCAAUCUGCCUCAACAAUCCACAUAAAAAUCUGUUCAAAAAGGACCUUGGUGUGCAUUGGACUUGUCAAAGGACAAUAAUAGAAUACUAAGAGGUAAUGAGCUCAUGUUAAAAUUCCAACGAAAUGAAGGUAUGUCAGAAUAAUUUUGCCAUUAUAUUUCUUGUUCCAAACAAUCCUGGCCCAAUUUGAUGGAUCUUAUAUGAACAUUUAAAACACGAGAAUUUAAAAAAUGAAAAACACAUAAGUAGAAUGGCAUGUCAGUGCAAUCCUAUGGAAUAUCAAAAUAUAAGAAUUACUCCCUUUGUAUUGUUUUGAUACCACAUAAGAAAAUACUCCUAUUACAGAAAUUUGGAGAGAGAGGAUGACUUUUGGUGAAGUUUCUCAAUGCUCUACCUUUUGAUAAACAUUUAUUGUGAGCAGCAAACCGUUUUAGAUGUGGUUACCGUCAUCCUAUAGUCAAAAUCACUUAUAUUUUGAGACAGAGGGAGUAUUACAGAAAUUUGGCGAAAGAGGAUGGCUUUUUGGUAAAGUUUCUCAAUGCUCUACCUUUUAAUAAAAAGUUAUUGUGAGUAGGGUUUACCAAACUGUUUUAGAUAGGGUUACCGUCAUCCUAUGAUUUGGCAGUCACCAUAAAAAUCACGCAGUUAUUGUGAUAUAUACUCCACUAGAGAGAGUUACCGCAAGUAAUAAUCACGAAAUCCUUACGGUUUGGUAAACCUUGAUUGUAAGUCAACGUAGUCAAGCGAAACCCUGGGUGCAAGAUAGAGAGAUGGACGUGGCAAUGGCAGGACUGCUCCUGUGAGGAUGGAUGUGGCACCAGGGACAGUGAGUGCAGAUGCUGAUGAUCAGAAGAGAGAGUGUCCAUGUGGAGGGCUGGCCGGCCUUGGAGCAAAGGAAAGGAUGAGACGACGGCAACAAAAGCAGGAGAGAGGGAGUGUCUCUGACAGAGUGACAGAUAGGAAAGGGUCCCAUGGCUGCUGCUGCCUUCAGGUAUCCGCACAUGUCUCUCUGACACGCACCACCACCCCCCACACAGCCACCCCAAAGAUUAUUUUAGAAAAAAUAAAAAAUUAAAAAAAAACUUCUCUUUCUCCUCCAGUACUACUCGUGCUACUACUGGUAGAGGAGUAAAAUAAACGUACACUCGUCUACUGCUGCAUCUGCUGCCUGUCUUCGCUUUUGGAUCCCAUCAACUGAACUGUUGGGCAUAUGAACACAUGCCUUCUUGCCUGCCUACUGUCCACUCCACCCCCUACUGCUGUCAAAACAAAAACAAUAAUCUGGAGUAAUUGCUGAUUAGCACAUCAAACUAUGCAGCUUUCAAGUUUCAACUCCCAUGCUUUCUUCUUUUGAUCAGAAAACUGAGUGGAUGUUUUGGAUGGAGUCUAACUUUGUCAUAACUCGAUUUGCCAUAACUGUGGCAAGCCACACAAAGUGUGACCAAUAAUUUGUUGGCCACAACUAUGACAAACUUUAGCUAGCAAAUGAGAGUAUGACGCGUGGGCCAAUGUGCUAAUAAAAUAUGGAUUGACUCAACUGCGGCACGCAACCAAACACUAGCCUGAAAAAUUGUGACACGCCUAAGGUUUGGUGUGGUAAACCGAGACCACCAACCAAACAGCCCCUGAGGCUUUACCCACAAGGUUAUUAUUGUUGUUAAUUCAGGAUUUAAAUAUUAACGGAUACCUUUUGUCUGGCUACCAGGCCAAGUGGACUACCUGCGGAACUACUGAAUCAAAAAAAUUAAAAUCACUCCGAGCUUCUGCCACGGCUUAAAUAAUGAAUAAUUUUGGAUCAUAAAUGUCACCUUCUGCCACGGCUUAAAUAAUGAAACAUUUUGGAUCCUAAAUGUCACCAUGUUAGACCAUGUGUGGCAAAUCAACAAUUCCAGCAGUAAACAAUUUUGGCCCAAACCAUCAAAAUGACACUAGUAGUACAAUCAAUCUUUUUGGUUAACUAAAACAGGCAUGGAUAGGAGUACCAGACAAGUCCUGCAAUAAAUCCAGCCGCUGCCCACCCACAACAUUAGAACAACCGCAAUAGUAAAGUAAGUUGCUCUCUAUAACACAUCUACAUCUCAGCAAUAGACUAGAUUAAUAAUAAACCUCCUUAAUAGUAUGUCUACAUGGGUAUCUAUAGCUCUCUAAUCCAUUGCCUCGUUUUUCUCGUUAGUAGAUAGCUUUGCUAUCUCUCUUUAUUUAAUCUCUUUUAAGUAGAAAAAAAUGCUGACAUAGAUAUCUUGUAGAUAGUAUAUAGAUAAUCAUUGCGGGUGCCCUUAGUACUACUACUGUACUAGUAGAUGGCAAAAUGGCACUACUGUAAUUUUGCUACCGGUUAGUACAUCUUAACAUUGGAUUGUAUUCAUGAUGAUGCAUUAAGGGAGAUGAUGCACGCAGCAGAGUCCGAUUUGGUCAACAAGAAUAAUUCUUCUUUGCUUAAAUCCAUCAACCAUGGAUCUUCUUUUGUACUAGUAGUACCAUUGAUGAACUACAGUGAUUGUUGCUUAAGGAUGGAGCUAAACUGGAUACACCAUGAUCCGAGAUCACCACCAGAUCAAGGACAACAAAGCUACUCCUACUAGCCAACAAAAGAAAUCCAAAACAACACCAGACACAACAUGACACCCAAGGCUCAGGGAACUGACAAUAGUGUCACCCCCCAGAUUCCCAGAUGCAGCAAAGCUACUACUCCUGUACUGUAGUACUACUCUCCUCCCUAACUACUCAGAAAACAAAAAAAAAAGAUAAUCCAUUGUAUGCCAAAGAUAAUCCAUUGUAUGCCACUGAGUUUGUCAUAGGUCUACAAUUUACCACUGACUUUGUCACGUUCUAUAAUAUGCCAUCGAUUUUUGCUUAACUUCUACGAUUUACCACCGCCAUCCGGUUAGUCUCCGUUAGUACUGUACACUUUCAUCCAAAUGACCAAAAUACCCCUGAGACAAAAACUUUCAAAUUUUGGAUAAAAAUUCUGAAAUGUCAGACUUUAAGUUUUUGGACAAAUUUUGAAUGUUUACAAUCUUAUGUUUAUAAUAUGGUAUUUCGGAAUUUUUGUCCACAUUUUGGAAGUUUUAUCCCAGGGGUAUUUUGGUCAUUUGGACAAAAUUGUACAGUACUAACGGAGACUAUCUGGACGGCGAUGGUAAAUCAUAGAAGUUAAGUAAAAGUCGAUGGUAUAUUAUAGAACGUGACAAAGACAGUGGCAAAUCGUAGAGCUAUGACAAACUCAGUGGCAUAUAAUGGAUUGUCUCAAAAAAAAAAAAAGUCACUGUUGUACACAAACAGGAUGAAUGCAACAUCUUAUUGAUCCUAAUCAAGUCAAGCAACCAAGAUCAAGCUGGAUGCAACAUCUUAUUGAUUCUAAUCAAGUCAAGCAACCAAGAUCAUUAGUAGUACUAUCAUGUAUACAAGUACCAUCAUUAUUAGGAGUAAUUGGCAGCAAAUCUGUGGUAUUGUUAGCAGUAUCAUGCAAGCAUCCAGGACAGAGAGAAUAUUGAUCAUAUGCUGAUGAUGGAAUCGACAAGGUGGUAAAAAUUAUAGAGUAACCGACAAUAAUCAUCUUUUUCAUCUCGGGGAAACCACAAAAAGGAGAGAGAUUUUGUCAAUCUCCUCGCCCAACACACAAAACCAAUCCAGACAUCACGUCUUCUUAACCUGAACCAGAGGACCAGACCAACUCAUAGCAGCAAAAGCAUCAUCACACGAGCAGCAGCAGCAGAAGUUAAAACUAAACCGAAAUCCCAAUAGCAAAAAAAGAAAAAGAGGUAAAAACAAAAGGCAAGCGGUUCCUUUAUAGCAGGCAACGCGCUCUCCAUGUGACCCAGAUCGGCGGCAAAACUAAAGCAAUAAUUCGACUUAGGAGUGAUGAAGAUUUAGGCGAGAUCUAAGAGGAGGGGGGGGGGAGAUGGUGUUGUGAAUCCAUCACUUGUGGCAGUCGCGGGCGAUGUGUCCAGCCUCGCCGCAGUUGUAGCAGGAGCGGUCGCCUCCACCGCCGAAUCGCCCGCCUCCGCCUCCACCGCCGCCGUUGUAGCAGUCCCUCGCGAGGUGGCCGGUCUCGCCGCAGUUGUAGCAGGCGCCGCCGCCGCCGCCGCCACCACCACCACCUCCACCACCACCGCUGUUGAAGCAGUCCCUAGCCAUGUGGCCCAUCUCGCCGCACUUGAAGCAGCCACCACCAGCGCCGCCGCCGCCGCCACCGCCUCCACCAACGCCGACACCGCCGCCGUUGAAGCAGUCCCUGGCCAUGUGGCCAGACUCCCCACACUUGAAGCAGCCCCCACCGGGUCCACCACCGCCGGAUCUCCUCCCCCCGCCCCAGCUACCGCCAUAGCUGCGGCCGCCACCGCCAGAUCCGCCCCCACCGCGCGAUCCGAAGCCUCCCCCGCCACCGCCGCCGCCGCCGGCGCCGCCCUUGACGAAGGAUCCGUCGGGGCCGGUGACGUCGACGGCCUUGGUGCGGCCGUCCUCGCUCUCGGAGAUGGCGAACUCGACCUGCUCGCCCUCGGCGAGGGAGCGGAAGCCGUCGGCCUUGAUGGAGGACUGGUGGACGAAGAGAUCCUCGCUGCCGUCGUCGGGGGAGAUGAAGCCGAACCCCUUGGUGUCGUUGAACCACUUCACCGUCCCCCGAUGCCUCGCCGCCGCCGCCAUGGAUCGCCCGCCGAGGAGUCGAAACCCUAGCCCUCGCCUCUCCCUGAUCUGAUUAGGGUUUGAUUGAUUUUUUUUUCCCCUCGUCUCGCUACGCGUGUGCCCGAUCUUAUCUGUUUCCUUGGGAGACUCUAUUUAUAGGCGGCGGCGUGGUAUACGAGGAACUCGAGCCGAGAGGGGGGGGAGACGACUCGCGGGAUGGGGGUUGAUCGGACGGCCGUGAUCGCGCGACCGGGAUCUGGACGGUCGUGGGGGAGUGGGCCUUGGUUCGGACACCGACGCGUGGGCCCGUGACUCGCACGUGUGGGCUGACGGCCCAGCUGUCAGUGGGGAUGGGCCCCGCGCGAGGGUGGCAGUCUGACGGGUGGGGCCAUGGAGAGGGUGGUGGUGGGAUUGGAUGCGGUGGCUACGCGCGUCAAUGCUCGCGGGUUGGGCCGUGAUUUUUGUGAUUCAUUGCGUGCGUGAUUAUGUGCGUACGCUCGUGUGUUGCGUCAGCGUGUACCACCACGUAACAGAGUUUCAUGCCUACUACUCCAGUUUAGAGGUGCAAUGGAUACAAUACCGGUUACCGCUGGGUUUUCUUACCCCGUAUCAUCUCCAACCAUACCUAUUCGAAACAGUAUCCUCCCACAUAGUCACUGAUAUAUGGAUCCGUGAACGGUGAGGCUCACAUGUCAAUUACCAUGUCCUUCUGACUCCAUGUUAGAAAAUCGCAAUCCCACCUAUCCGUAGGUACAAGAUUCUCUCUAUACUGUAUAUGUGCGGGCAAUAACUACCCGUUGCAGGUCGGACUCAGGUUUAACCAAGGUCUUAGGCUAACUCAAUGCAUGUUGAGCCAAGACAUGUCUUUUUACAUUUGUGAAAAUGCAUGGUUUAUAUGGGGUUUUAGGCCUAGGUCCGACCCAUGGCCUAAGUGGCUCAUGACCUAGGUCUGUCAUUGACCUGCCGGGUACCGAUACACGUGACACUUUGAGCACUUGCAAUUUACACUAUAGUCAAAUGAUUAGCAAUCAUCCAUUAACAUCAUAAUGUCAGGUAUACAAUGAUUUUAACAUCAAAGUUAGCAAAUAAACAGACCAAACAACUACAUUCCAAAAUCAAGAAAUUAAAUGAUAAUGCCAUACAACAGACUAGGGAAGAGGUUGAGAGGUUAAAGGAGUUUUAUCGAAUGUCCCCGAAGAGACAGGUUAAAGGAGUUGGGAGUAGCUAUAUUUAUGGCGCCAUAUUUUUCACCAAAAAAUAGUCGGCAUGUAUUUAUAUUGUAAGUUUCUAAAAUAUAUAUGUAAUUUUAGUGCAUUUACAAUGUAAAUCUCGAAAUUACAUAUGUAAUUUUAGUGUAUUUAUAAUGUAAGUACCAAAAUUACAUAUGUAAGUUUCUAAAUUACACAUGUGUAAUUACUGUGUAAAUAGACUAAUUGCAUUCUUUGAUGACCAACACGUGUCACGCAAAGCAAAAAGGAGUCACCAACUUAGGAGCAAGUUGUUCGAUUAGCUUAUCAGAUGUACUUUACAUGAAUCGUGAAGAAAAUUAGAUGGUAGAUCGACAAACUGACUGUAUUUAGCCUAGAAAUAUGUCGACAUAAUUUUAGCAAAGCCGAAGGAGUUUUAUGCUACAGAUGAUAACUAUUGGCAGUUUUUCUAUGCAUACGGUUUUUUUAACCAUGGAUUAGUGGGUGUGGAUGGCUAAAGAAUAAACCCGUAGAGUAUAUCCAAUACUCCUCAUUACUAUACCAUAUGGAUAUAACAAUUUUUUCUCACUAGUAAAAAACUGUUGGGUACUUGGGUCUCCAAACGCGGACCCUCGUCGCCGUAUCUACUCCAGACAAUGCUUAUACAAGCUUUUAAGAAGAUGUUUUCACCUUGAUAUUUAUGUUUUCAAGUCCUUAAAUUUCCUUUGCCUGGUGAUUUUGACUUGUCUCGUCACAAAGCAAAAGAGCAGCAAAAAUGGAAUAUGUUUUCAAGCCCUUAAAUUUCUUUCUCGUGAUUUAAACUUGUUUCGUCACAAAGCGAAAGAGCAGCAAACAUGGAAAAUAUAUCGCCUCAAAGGCACAAAAACACUCUUAAAGACCAUCAGCCUAAACCUUGAACUUUUCUCACAUCGAUACCAUAGAAGUUUACAGUUAACACCCAGUUCAUCACAGAAUUGAGAGGCAAUGAACACAGCUGUUGCAACUUGCAAGAGACGGUUGGUAUACAAUCAUCCAGACAUCCAGUACAGACCAUGCAGUGUAUUUCUACGGAUAUUUUGAGCACAGCUUCAGGCAUCUACAAACAUCUCACAGCCAGUGACACAAAAGCAGUUCUUCAUUGUGGGUGUCACUGCAGAAUCUGGAAAAGGAAGAAUCUCACACGGCGAGUCGUUUUCCAAUUUCGGAUAAGCAGCGAAGGCAACAUUUAACGUUACUUUCCCCGCCAAAAAAAAAAAAAACAUUUAACGUUACUUGUAACCAAGCACCGUGACAGCGUAUAGCUUGCUUGUCCAGGGGUGAAUGCCCACACCAGCAAGCAAAAGAUGGGCGACAAGAAUUCCUGCAGCGGAAGCAGCUUUUCAUCACAGCUCAGCACCUGUGAUCUCUGUGGCUACCGGCCAAGGCCAUGGUCCAUGGCUGCCUCAUGAUUGCCAAACAUUAGGCUGAUUAGGGUUCAUGAUUAAGUCCCUAAUGAUGGCCUUUAACUACCGUGCCUUGCUGAGGAAUUCCAUCUUUAAUGUGUCCUCUAGUUGUGAGAAUGUCGAUGAGAAGAUACCUGAAAACAAAAGAACAGUACUUUUUUGUCAUUGUCACCGAGAUAAAAGAAAAACUCUAAUUUUGUGCAUGUACUAGUAAGCCAGAGGAGCUAUCAUGCAAUUGGUACAAGUAUCAUACAUGCAGAAGUUCUGUUUGGUUCACAUCCAGUUGCAACCACUAUUGGUUAUACAUAAUACAAUUGGAAUUUGAGGGAAUGAGCUAAAUGCUCAUGCUGCACAUGUAUAGACUAGAGAUGAACAGAGCAAUUAUAUAACCUAACCAGGUUUGAAAUAUGACAAGCAAUCUCUAUUUAACAGAAAGAUCAGCUAGAGAUUCUUGUCUGCUUGUCCUACUAUCUAUAGAGCUUGAUUUACUUCCCUCUACAACCUGAAUAAUUGUAUCCUCAAUUGCAAGGACGGUCAGUCGACAGUCAAUAACAAAAGCAGCAGCUUCAAUGCCAACAUGCCAUAUGAUCCGUAUCUACAGGCUCUGCCUCCUGCAAACUUACCAGCCAAACUCUCUCAAUGCGUCAAUGGUCCCUAGCGUUCAAGUGUCAUUUAGGAGUAUGUCUCCAUCGUGGAAUUAGCACUAGCAGCUGUCUAGAGCCAGUGACAAUUCAUAUGCUAGAGCCAGCUAGGCAUCAGUACUACUGUCACCCUUCUUUUACUGGAUAGACAACCAAGACAAUUCUCAGGACCGUUUCAUGACUAUAGGACCAACACAGCUUGGCAGAGGAGGGCAUGAACAGGAUUCUCCAUCUCGUGCUGUACAAUGUACAUUUGACACCAUUUGGUGGAUCAAAAUUUUCUACUCGAUCAACAGAUUUCAUUAUGAUUGAGCGUUUAUGCACUGUAAAACAACCUCACAUCUACAAAAGCAAGUGCCAAUCAUCCUGAAUAGCAAGAGUUAGUACAGAUAACGAAUCAAGUUUCAGCUCCCCAUCUUGCCCUUUUAGUGUUUUAUGCAUCCUAUAGAAUUAAAAGGACACAAAUAGCCGAUGAUACAGACAUCAGGGGAUUUAUACAUGCUUGAAUCUGGAAUGGAGUUAUAUGGCAAUAGGGGAAGAUAAAAGAGGUUAUCACUGCAGGGGUUGGAACAAGGAACUGCAUAAACAUGCUGCAGCAGUGGCAGGAGAGGUUUCCUGCAGAUGCACGAAUUCAAGUGAUUUCAGGCUACUCUUGUGUUUAAGACUCGAUGCCAUCCUUUCUGACUUCACAAACUGGUUGGUACGUUAUCCAAAUCUCUAGGUUAACGUGGAAGUCAGCUCUUUCCACGCAUGCCAGCCAGCUGCAUGCUAAAUAACUUGAGGGUGGACAUUUGUAUUUUCUGAAUGGCCACAGACCAUCUGGUUGGUGCCCAUGAUUAAGCGCCAGAUGCUGUAUUCGUUAAAAAUCAUCACCCUUAAAGAUUCACUCAUCACCACUUAACCUGAAUGCUCUCCUGAAGAUGGCUAUUUCAAAGGCAUUGUGUCUGCUGAAUCACAUGGAAUUCGGCACCUAUAUACUAGACAACAUAAAUCUGGCUACCUCUGGAAAUUUCUUCACCAGUAAGCUGACCAAUGGAGUAACCUUAUGUCAGUUCAUACUGAAAUUUGCCCCUGCUACCAUAAGGAACGGACAAAAUCUUACAACUCCUCUCCAAAUCUCUGUCCGUUGGUAACAAGGCUAGGCUGAGGCAUACACUCGAAGUCUGAUUAAGAUGCAAAAUAGGUUUCUGGAACACAAAUUAACACAUGAUGCCAGAAGAAGAUGGGUUUGAUGGGUGACAGAAAGCUUUGGGGCAUGGACAGCAGUGAGCCAAUGAUAGCUUCAGGGUGCCAAUGCCAACGGUAGUUGAGGGAGGGUGGUAGCCAGGCACCAGUGCACCACGACCGUGGCUGGACAGUGGCUACAGGCAUACAGUAAAAUCAAGUACACUGUUGGCAUAUCUGACAAGAUAAAAGAAGAGUAGAUCAAAUGAAGGUGAUGGUAGCUGGAGAAUUGAUGUUGCUGGCAAGAGGGUGAUCACUCUGGUUGCAUUGGGUGGGAAAGAUAGCUGGAAGAACAAUAGUGAGAGGGAACGACCAAGCCCCCAGAGGAUGGAUUGCUGCCAUGUCACAUUCAUGAUUUAAUAGCUCAAUAGUUCCCAUUUUUUAGUUUUUUUAUACACACAGAUGAAGCAUCCGUGACUGUCAGUUUCACAUGGAAAUAAAUAAUGGCCAGGCCAGAGGCAAAGUGGGAUGCCAUUAGACUCAAUAAAAUAGCUCGGAACUCAAAUCAACAACAAUGGUAUAUGCACUCAAUUGAAAUAUAACAUACAGUGAAAUUUACACAAAACUACAAGAUCAAGAAAAUGGCAUGUUAUGCAUUGAUGAAAACCAACAAAGGUGUAUCUGCAUGUUUGGACAAUAAAUGUGAUAUCAUUCACAUGAAGAACAACGAUUACCUGACAGUGCUUUGUUCAAUAAUGAACCUCUGACUAGGAGUGUGCCUGGCAUUUGUUCAAACACCUAUAUGGAAAAAAUACAAUGAUUUUUUUUUUGAAAUAUACACAGAAACAACUGACAAGUUCAUAGGAAAAAAACAUAACUAGGUAACUGAUGAACAUAAUAUACUUCAAUUUAUCCUAAGCAUACCGAAAUACGGAAGGAUGUUCCAGUAACACCACUAUGAAGCUUUGUAGAGUUGCCUUCUACAGAACCAGAUUCAUCGUGCAACAUUGCAGCCUGAGCCUGCUCAUCUGAUAAGGUAACCUGAAAGAAGAGUAUUUCAUACAAUUCUUGGAGAUCGAUACACUAUAGAAUUUGUACAACAACAAAAAGGUCUGUGUACUGGUGUAAUUUGACAGAAGGAAUAUGCGGCAGAUUAAUAAGGAAUCUUACAUCAAUAGAAAAUAAUGAAGAAUCAGUUUUACACGAUAGAUUAGAAGCAUGGAAAAAGCUCUCAGCUGACUUCAGCACUUGAAAUGCACCAUAUUCACGUCGAAGGCCCUGAAAGCCAUUAUGUAAAUGAGAUAUUGAAGCGAAGAAGCUUGAGAAGGUGCAAUAGUAGUGGAAACUCAGUAUCAAUAACUCACAGAUAAAUAUAAGUUGGCUGAUUAGCUCUUUAUUAAUAAGAGGAAAGGGCGCAGGUAUUGUCCAAGAACAUACAAACAUAAUGGUAGAUAAGAUUCGAGUUGGAUUUCUUUUUCUUUUGGUUGCUAAAGAAAAAUAGCUGUGCAAUUUAUGGAGGUAAAUGAUAAUAUGAAUCAAAGGGACAAAAGGUGACGUGAUACUAACUUGAAGCAUAAAAGAAUAGUUGGCUUUUCCAGGUGUACUGGAUCUAAUGACCAUUUUCCUUGGAGCAAUGAAUGACCAUGCAAGGCCCCAUCUAGCUGUUUGACCUUGCACGAAUUCAGUAGUUUUCACAACUGACACCCCAGCUUCACGAACUUUUGAAACCAAUAUUUUUAGAUUUGCUUUUCUGCCAACCAUCGAAGUAAACCACCUAAAACAAUAAAAGGAACAAUGAGCCCAGAGACAAUUAAAAGGCUAUUAUCAUGUUAGGUUAGUAUUUGAAUCACCUGAAAGAGUUCUUAAGGGAAACACUGUCUUCAAUUAUACGAGUUAUAAAUGCCUGUUCACCACCAGGACAAACCAUCUCUUCAGCAGUUCCACCGCAUGAAGUUUUUGGAUUAAGACCAGCUUCCUCUAUACUUUCAAAGAAAGGAGGAUUGCACAUACAGAAGUCAAAGCUCUCACUAUCCUUCACAACGCCAAGAAGGAUAGAUGGUUUCGACCUCAGUACACCAUCCACUGGCUUCGAAGUGUUCUCCCUGGCUGCUUCACCAUCAACUGCUUCAGAUUCAGAAGAACAGGACAUUUUGUUUGCAUUUCUAAUCUCAACCAGAGCUGCUAGCUGUGGAUUGCUCUCCACAUUCUUUUUAGCCCAUUCAAGGGCAACAUCAGUGACAUCUACAAACACAGGGGUAAUCCGAUUAAAAGAGAAAUGCAAAUAAAAGUUCAACUAACAUAAGAAACUCUAAUUGAUGCUUUGCAAAACUUAUAUUGUACAUGAUCUAAAGCAUACCAGAUCCAACAAAGCUCCAGCCUAGUAAAGAAGCCCCAAGCAGAGGGUAGAUGCAAUUGGCACCUGUGCCUAUGUCAAAGCCCCUUACAGUCUUGUUUGAACUGGAUAUUGGUGGUAUGAGGUCUGAUGAGAGAAGAUCCUCAAUCCAGUGGAUGUAAUUGGAUCUGUUUGGCACAGUAGGGCACAGCUGUCCAUCCGGAAUCCACCUGACGGUAGUUAGCGACAAAUGUCAUGUUCAUAUAUUAGAUUAAAUAAGAUAUUGAUCACAAACCAUAUGCAUGACACUUAGCCAAUAACAUAUUGAGCACUAGUAAAUAUUUUGCAUGACAAACGAACAUCACGAUUCUCUCUCUUCAAAUAAACAUGGCAGCUAAAACUUCUUCAGAGAGGCCAUUUGAAUUUUGAACUGUUAGUGCAACAAUAGUACCAUUUCUGAUAUAGUAGCAUCAUCAGAAAAACUACUGAAGUUACUUAGAACAAUCAAAUUCCCUCAAGCUCACUCCUGAUAGUAGCAACUAGCAUCAACAGUUCAUAGAAUGACAAAUGAGACGCAACAGCUUGAGCUCGAUGCUGCGGAUGGCUGAAUUGAGUGGUACCCUAGUGAUUCUUCAGCAGAGCAAUACCGGGAUGCACUAGAAGCACAGACGGAUUAGGGUUCAGGGAAGUGAGCCCAGAGAGUGUAAUUAGUACCAACCAGUUGACGCCGUGGUCGUGGAGGAGGAGGACGCGCGUGAGCUCGCGGGUGGCGGCGAAGUCGGUGAAGUCGAUGGAGGCGCGGCCUCCCCGGGAGACGGAGACGAAGGGGGCGAAGGACGGGUAGAGCGACGCCAGCGACGCGAAGUCCGGCGCCGCGGCGGCGUAGCGGUUGCGCGGGUGGAUCGCCGGCGCCUCCGAGCCGUCCCGCCGCCGCCGCUUCCUCCCACCCCCCAUGACGUGGAUGGACCAACGGCGGCAGAGCUCGAGCAGAGAUCGCCGGAGCCCCGAAGCGCCGCGGGGGAAGCGACGGCGAGCGGCGCGGCGGCGCAGGUCGGGUAGAAAAGCUCGGGGUUUUCUCCGGCCCAAUCCUUCGUUUAGAUCUUUACAUGGGCCUCGAGUCCCUAUCACGGCCCAUCCACAAUUCAUCUUUGUCAAAUGCAGACAUAUGUUUGGCAGGGCUUCAGUUCCAGCUUCAUCUAUCUCGAAACUGAAGUUCAACCAAAUGGUUUGGAGUAGAUUAAGUGGUAUGAAAAACUAUACUAAGAAGGUGAAGCGGUGUUCAGCUCCACAACUCCGCUUUAAACUCAACUCCAGGAGUUGGAAGUCCUGCUAAAUAGACCAUAGCAUAGUGUUUUUGAAAUUCACUGAGAAAACAAGAGUAUGAAGACAUGGUUUGUGUUUUCAUCCUACAAUGUGAUACAGGUAAAAAUGAAAAAGAUGUCAGUGUCAUUUAUCAUUAAGCAAAAUUUAUAAACCACCAAGUUUAGGGUAUCUGUCAUGCAAACCACAAAUAUUGUGGUUUUCUUUAAGAAACCUUAGAUUUUGAGUAAAACCACUUAGGGUGUGUUUGAGGAGAAGGGGAUUGAGGAGAUUGGGAAGAUACGCAAAACGAGGUGAGCUAUUAGCUCAUGAUUAAUUGAGUAUUAACUAUUUUAAAUUUCAAAAAUAGAUUAAUAUGAUUUUUUUAAAGCAACUUUCCUAUAGAAUUUUUUUGCAAAAAACGCACCGUUUAAUAGUUUGGGAAACGUGCGCGCGGAAAACGAAAUAAACAAACUCACUCUCUCUCACCCUCUCGAAUGCUGCCUAAGGAAAUGUUUGGUUGAUGCCUAACCUUGCCAUAACUAAGUUUAGGCUAGUUGUGGCAUGGUGGCAUAAAUGUGGCUUAGAAAUAGUUGGCCACAAGUGUGUCAUGCUUAGCUCUAAAUUUGAGAGCAUGACAUGUGGGUCCCAAAGUUAAGAAAGUGUGGUAUAACACAAUUGCGGCAGCGAACCAAACACAUGCCUAAAAAACUGUGGCAUGGCUAAAGUGUGGCGUGGCAAAGUGUGACAACCAACCAAACAGCCCUAAAUGUUUCGUGAAACUUUGUGUAGGCUUACAUUGUUCAUUUAACCAAAUUUAUGAACAGCAAUUGUGUUAAAAAAAAGGUAGUAUGAGAUAUUUUUUUUAGGUACAUAUACACUUCAACCAUAUUUUCAAUCAACAUCGAGUAUUAUCAACAGUAUGGAGGUACGUGUGUAUAUGUAAUCGACUGUUUUAUAUCUUUUUUAAGUGGAAGCGGCAAGAGUAUUGCCGAAUAUAUUAGAAAGAUAGUGUGUGACCCUGUUUAUAAGGAAAACCGGGCCAAAUAACAUACAACUGCGCGUUUUGCUAAAGUGAAACCGGCAAAAAUUUUACACAGAAGACACAAAAGCCUAAGGCAAACACAACUACAAACCGCAUAAGGCCGUGGGAAGAGUAAGAUCCUAAGGCGAAGCCGGAGAUGAACAACGACAUAAGCCGCUGUCGACGCCCGACCUAAACAGUUGGACUGUUUUAUAUCAUUAUUAGCGGGGGAUUGUAUUAAGUUUUUCAAUAAUCCAGCGCAAGGAUAAGAUAGAAUAUAAGAUGACAAGGUUGUAUUUGAACUUUGUAUUGGAAUAUGUUUAUUAAAACAUUUUGCCCAAAAUAUAAUACGGAUGUCUUAAUAAAACCGGUUUUGGGAAAUUUAAUAUUUAUCAUGUUGAGCAAUUGGAGGGUUUCAAGAUCAUUUUUUGCAAUGGUGAGAUUUCCUUCACCAACUAUUUUUUGUUAUUAAAAGGGAAAUGAAGUCAUCUUGUAUUUAUGUAACACAACAAACUCUCCACAUCUUCUUAUAAUUUUCUCCUCUGUGUUUAGAUCCUGAAAUGAAUUGGAGAUCAGGUUUUAGGCGCCACAGCCAGGUGCAUGGAGAUUGGAGACAAGACGAAACGGCACUUGCCUGCAAAAAGUAGUGGAUACUGUCUUUCUACUUCUCCGUUCUUCCAAUGAUGAAUUGGUGAUUGGCCUUUUCAAGGUAGUUGCAGCAAGUAUCUAUCUAUAUAUCCUGAAGAUGACAAUUGGAAUCGAUGUUCAGUGCGUCGUCACCACCACUUGUCAUGCUUUCAGAACGUCAACGACACACAACCUCUCGUUUUUUCCUUUUUGUGAAGUAAUUUUGGCGAAUACGAGCACCAUGAGAACAGAAUUUCGCACAACUUGGAAAGCUGUUCUUCAAUUUUUGCGAUUCCUAACGCAACCGCGUGUGGAAAGAGAGAAGGAAACUAAAGUGAGAUCGAUCGAAUCAAGCAUCUCCUGCGUACAGUAGCUGCCAGCCAUGAUCACUUGUGGCAGCCAUACUUGAGGCAUCUCGAUCGUUUUCAGGACGUCUCUGGCUUGACAGCUGAGUUGAGAUUAUUCAGGUUGAUCUUUUUGCUUGGUUCAGAUUUCAGAUCCGUCAGACUUUUCAAUUCUGUUUUCCUACUCGUUUUACAGGUUCUGAAAUUGCCAAAUGCCGACCAAACGAACUCAACACAAGACGUGAUUCUGUUGGUAUUGGGAGGAGAUAGGAAGGAAAAACCUGUCCUGCAAAUGCAAAAAUGCAAUAUGCCAUAUUGCCUUCCAAUGAGAGUAUGUCAGCAUUCAAGCAAACAGCCAAACACAGAUUAUAGUUCGUCCCAUAGAGGCUGGAUGUGGAACGUUAGCCAAAAACUGGAUUUGUAAUCCUAAUUUUAAUUCAUUUUAGGCGUUCCUUUUCAAAUUUUUUAAGGCUGUGUUUAGUUCCUUCUAAAAUUAGAAGUUUGGGUUGAAAUUGGUACGAUGUAACUGAAAAUUUGCGUGUGUAUGUCAGGUUGAUGUGAUGGAAAAAGUUGGAAGUUUGGAUCUAAACACAGCCUAAGUUUCGGCUUUUUAACCAAAUAUCAAUAUACUAAACGCCUACCGUAAAACUACUUUUUCGUAACAUCGUUUUUAUUCUAUGGCUUAUAACUCGAAGCCUAUCAAUGUGACUAGUACUAUUUUAUUACUUAAUGAAACGUCUAUACAUUAUAUAUAUCAAAAUGUUAUAAAACCGUAAAAAAGCCAUGAUAUCAAACUGACAAAAUAAUACUCUAUCCAUCCUAAAAUAUAAGGAAUUUUAUGUGGAUGUGACGUAUCUUAUACUUUGGGUGAGAGGAAGAGGUACUAAUACCACUAUUAUAUUGUACUCCCUCCAUACUCGUAAAAGAAAUCGUUUAGGACAGCGACACGGUUUCCAAAACACAACUUUGACUUCUUAUUUCUAUAAAAGUAUUUAUUGAAAAGUGAUAUAUGUAUACUUUUAUAAAAUUAUUUUUCAAGACAAAUCUAUAUAUAUAAUUUUUAUAUUUUCAAACUCAACAACUUAAAAGUUAUUUAUGAUUUAUAUUCCUAAGAUUUGAUUUAAGCAUUGUCCUAAACUACUUUCUUUAUAAGUAUGGAGUAAUAUGUAUUGGUAACAGUACAGUAUAUACAGCAGUAGUAGUAGAAUAUACUGUACUGUAGGGGGAGGUUUGGGCCGGCAGAGGAAUGGGCCAGUCGCACAUGCCGUCUGCGUGCGCUUCCCGCGACCUAGAAUAUCGCCCACUCGCUCAACCGCAUAUCCCUUCCUAAUAACCUCUCCGAUCCGUAAACCUCGCCCAUGCGCCACGUCCCCCCUAGUGUCCUACCUCCCGGACCACCCGGUCUUGGUAGACCACGUCCACCUCCCCAACUAAAAUAUCCUCCCUAACCCAACCACCCCACGGUAACCCACGUACUUAACGCGAGUUACCCCCCGCAAAGAUCCAACCGCCUCUCGCACCGCCCGCCUGUCCACCCACGCCUACUGACGAACCCGGCCCACCUCUCCGGGCCCCACCAUGUCGUCACCACGCAGGCCAAAAUCGGGGAGAGCGUGUCGUGGUCCCACCUGUCAUUGGCUUCGUGGGUGGGAGCGGGUCACGUGCAUCUCGACAUGACUCGAGGAGGUAACCAUGGUUAUGGUAACCCCACCGCCUUGACACCCGUGGUUAGGGGUGGGGGCGCGCGAUGCCGCCACGUGUGACGAUCGGACGGCUGCGGAGGGCAUCGGGGUUGGGCGACCCGCCUAUUUAACCGCGGGGGCCUCGUCUUCCUCAGGCCACGCAGCGAUCUGAAGUGAAACAGCAAAAAAAAUCAAACAAAAAGAAAAAAUAUUCCCCAUCUGUGAAAUUCGCAAAACCCUAGCGCGGCGGCGAUGUCGAACACGAGGGUGUUCUUCGACAUGACCGUCGGCGGAGCUCCGGCGGGGCGGAUCGUGAUGGAGCUGUACGCGAAGGACGUGCCGCGGACGGCGGAGAACUUCCGCGCGCUCUGCACCGGCGAGAAGGGCGUGGGCAAGAGCGGCAAGCCGCUGCACUACAAGGGGAGCACCUUCCACCGCGUGAUCCCGGAGUUCAUGUGCCAGGGCGGCGACUUCACCCGCGGCAACGGCACGGGAGGGGAGUCGAUCUACGGCGAGAAGUUCGCCGACGAGGUGUUCAAGUUCAAGCACGACAGCCCCGGCAUCCUGUCCAUGGCGAACGCCGGGCCCAACACUAACGGGUCCCAGUUCUUCAUCUGCACCGUGCCCUGCAGCUGGCUGGACGGGAAGCACGUCGUGUUCGGCCGCGUCGUCGAGGGCAUGGACGUCGUCAAGGCCAUCGAGAAGGUGGGAUCCCGCGGCGGGAGCACCGCCAAGCCGGUCGUCAUCGCCGACUGCGGCCAGCUCUCCUAGAUCUGUGCUGUUCCCCUUCGCCUUUCGCCAGUAUCAGUCGUCUUGAGUCGUCGAGUCCC